CAAUGUCCAGCCAUCAACACAUUUGUGAAGGAAUUUUUACUCCCUAAAAGAGCGCCCCCCCAUGGCAGGAGAAAAAAGUCCAUUUUUUCUUGUCCCCUAAGGUGAAAAUACACAUUGUUGACUGUCACGCCUGUACGCUUUGGCAAAAUGACACAAAAAUUGACAAUCAUGUGUAUCUCAAUUAGAUCUACGAAAAAGUCAAGAGCGCGUAUCUGUAUAAUGUACGGUAAAAGGGCUAUUUUGCAUUUUUUGCCGAUUCGCACAUAUUGGAAUUUCGCUAACUCCUCCUAAGGCUUUCGUCCCACUGACACCAAAUUUGCUCAGGCCAAUCUACACUCCAUGGCCAUUCAAAGUUGUAAAAAUCAUGACGCGGCACCCCACGGUUUACGUUUUAGGGGGCGCCAAAGAUGACCCAAAUAUACAUUACAGUAGACAAAGUAGUUUUGCCCACUGAGUGGCGCCAAAGGGACUUGUCUGUGGAGUCUGUGAGUCACUAUUGGCCGUUUUUGACUACUUUAGAUUUUACCUUUAUAUUUCCUCUUACAAAAUUUUUACCUUGCCUUGCCUGGUAUCAUUGUUUUCAGCACAACCUCACCUGUGUCAAUUUACAGUUAUUUUAUCAUUUUGACAUACUAUAUUUACACAUUGGACCCAAAUUCACACACAAAACAUAAAAUCCGAGUGGAAAAAAGUAACGUUUUUACUGUGAAAACCACAAAUAUGUGUGAUGAACUGUUUUUAAAACUUAAACUUCAAAUAAAAAUUGUAAACUUCAAAACAUAUGCACAUUUUUAACAAAGAACAUAGUAAUUUACCUCUAUUUACAUCAAAAUGCAGGCAAUGGCCCAGGUGUUCUUUGUAAAAUUAUUUACAAAACACUGUAUAGUCUCACAAAUGUCACUUUUUAUUUAUGCCACUACAAAAAAACAUGAUGUAAAUGAUGCAUGAUGUAAAACAUGAUGUAAAAAACUUGUGUAGAUCCUCCUCUAUGUCAGUCCAUGUGUAAUUUUUCCAUAAUUCUUUGUUUUUUGCAGCAUUUUUGUUAGUGUAACUGCAGAUUGUGCUGACAGUGUCUAUGGCAAAAAAAAAAAAAAAACUGAAAAUGCCUCAACAUGAACCCCUGGUGGUCUCUGAGGGUGAAACCUGCUAACUGCUGCAGCUCUGUCAGCUUCAGUCUCCCAUGCAGAGCUCGGAGCGCAUGUGUGGCUCUGCACCCUUAGCAGCGUUGCUAACUCCUCAGUAAGGAAAGCCUGCUUCAUGUCAGAGUCUCUAAACUCCAGAAGAAGUCGAUAAAAGUCACUUUCUUUCUAAAAAAACGUCGUUAGGGGGUCUGAAAAGUCAUUGAAUCUAACAACAAAGUCGCUAGGUUUGCAACUACGUGUCCCAGACUGCAUCCCUGCUGAGAGUCCCUCCCUCCCUUCUCAUAUUGCAGGAAGAACGUAAGCGCCCGCCCCUUGUCAAUCAGUCACCAUAUAAUUUUGGAUUGGUUGUUGUGGUGAAGUUUUCCACCAAUAGGAGAGAUGUUGUGGUGUGUUUUUUUUUUCCUUUGGCAAGCCUUUUCCGCCUGUAAGACCUGUCGCUAAUGUCUGCAUGCUAUGUUUUCCUGUCUCAUACAGCGCGAUCGAGCGCCGAACGUGAUCAAAAUAAGCAGAAAACAAGUAUCGCGGACAUAAUUUAUCAUAACUCUGGUUUUAUUUGGCCUAUCAACACAAUUUAAAAACUGGUAUAUAGGUUGAGGUCCUCACUUUUGAGAUAAGUUGAAACGGAGAGUCAACGAGGCUCCGUCUUGCAGCUACAUCCGGUUAAAUAUGUCAUGUGACUUGAACACACACACACACACACACACAGACACACACACACACGCACACACACACACUCAGAGUCUGGUUUUUAGCACCUGCAAAAACAUGCUAUUUACAUAUUUGACAAGAAUGCAGAGGCUCCUUUUGCCCCUGAAAAAAAUCAAAUUUCAAACACAACUUGACUGGUCAUUUCUCCAAAAGACAACCAUGAAGCUCCAUCCAAACCUGAAGCAGGCAGUUGGUGCAUGUGUACAGUAACCUGAGGGGAGUGAGGUGACUGCUUCUGAGGAGAACAUGAGCAGUGAAGAUUCACCUUAGAGCUAGAACAGAGACGUGCACAUGAUUAUACAGGGGCAGGGGCUCAAGUUUUUUCCAGUUGUUUAUACAAUAUGGAAAUUAAUGUGAAAUUAAAAAACAAAGUAUUAAUAGAAAGGUAAUGACUGUCCUGAGUAGGUGACAGUGAUAUCCAAUAGGCUAGGCACUCACGAGGCUGGCUGUGGCAAGUGUAAGUGAAAGCAACACGCACUGGCAGGAAGAACAGCAAACGCCGAUGAAGGAAAAGGGUCUUUGCAGUGAUGGGCGUUACCAGAGAGGGCGAUGGCCAGAGGACACAAAUGGGACGGGGAGGCAGCGCGUUGGGGGGGGGACGCGACACAGCUCGGGCCCGCCAGUGCCCCAACGGGGUCCUAGUUAGGGCCCGAGCGUAGCUGCUAAGCAGCUGCGAGAGCCCUAUUAUUCCCCAAGGGGUUUUUCUUUGUUUCUUUUUUCUUUUUCCUCCCCUUUGAACUGGAAAAUGGCCCACUUCCCACUGGCGAAAACUCAUGAAAUUUGGCAGGACGACCGGGCCUGGUGAAAAAUUUGAUAUUCCGAAGUCGCCCAAACAAGAAAAUGCAAAAUGGCUCCAUAGCGCCCCCUAAGGUGAAAAAUUCACCUGACGCCUGUACGCUUUGUCAAAAUGACACAAAAAUUGACACACACAUGUAUCUCAAUAAGAUCUACAAAAAAGUCAGUGCGGGCGUAUCUGUCAAAUGUACUGUUAGAGGGUUAUUGCGCAUUUUUUGCCGAUCCGCACACAUUGGAAUUUCGCUAACUCCUCCGAAGGCUUUCGUUCCACCGGCACCACAUUUGCUCAGGCCAAUCUACACCCCAUGGCCAUUAAAAGUUAUUCAAAUCAUGACGCUGCACCCCACGGUUUAGGUUCUAGGGGGCGCCAAAGAUAACACUAAAAUCCACAUAUUUCAAAGUCUUAUAACUUUUUAUUUUUGUCCUCACUGGCCUCCAAGUUUUCUAGGAUGAUGCAAUGUCCAGCCAUCAACACAUUUGUGAAGGAAUUUUUACUCCCCAAAAGAGCGCCCCCCCAUGGCAGGAGAAAAAAGUCCAUUUUUUCUUGUCCCCUAAGGUGAAAAUACACAUUGUUGAGUGUCACGCCUGUACGCUUUGUCAAAAUGACACAAAAAUUGACACACACAUGUAUCUCAAUAAGAUCUACAAAAAAGUCAAUGGGCGCGUAUAUGUCAAAUGUACGGUUAAAGGGUUAUUCCGCAUUUUUUGCCGAUUCGCACACAUUGGAAUUUCGCUAACUCCUCCGAAGGCUUUCGUUCCACCGGCACCACAUUUGCUCAGGCCAAAUUACACCCCAUGGCCAUUAAAAGUUAUUCAAAUCAUGACGCUGCACCCCACGGUUUACGUUCUAGGGGGCGCCAAAGAUAACCCAAAAAUCCACAUUUUUAAAAGUCUUAUAACUUUUUAUUUUUGUCCUCACUGGCCUCCAAGUUUUCUAGGAUGAUGCAAUGUCCAGCCAUCAACACAUUGGUGAAGGAAUUUUUACUCCCUAAAAGAGCGCCCCCCCAUGGCAGGAGAAAAAAGUCCAUUUUUUCUUGUCCCCUAAGGUGAAAAUACACAUUGUUGACUGUCACGCCUGUACGCUUUGGCAAAAUGACACAAAAAUUGACAAUCAUGUGUAUCUCAAUUAGAUCUACGAAAAAGUCAAAGAGCGCGUAUCUGUAUAAGGUACGGUAAAAGGGCUAUUUUGCAUUUUUUGCCGAUUCGCACACAUUGGAAUUUCGCUAACUCCUCCUAAGGCUUUCGUCCCACUGACACCAAAUUUGCUCAGGCCAAUCUACACUCCAUGGCCAUUCAAAGUUGUAAAAAUCAUGACGCUGCACCCCACGGUUUACGUUUUAGGGGGCGCCAAAGAUGACCCAAAUAUACAUUACAGUAGACAAAGUAGUUUUGCCCACUGAGUGGCGCAAAAGGGACUUGUCUGUGGAGUCUGUGAGUCACUAUUGGCCGUUUUUGACUACUUUAGAUUUUACCUUUAUAUUUCCUCUUACAAAAUUUUUACCUUGCCUUGCCUGGUAUCAUUUUUUUCAGCACAACCUCACCUGUGUCAAUUUACAGUUAUUUUAUCAUUUUGACAUACUAUAUUUACACAUUGGACCCAAAUUCACACACAAAACAUAAAAUCCGAGUGGAAAAAAGUAACGUUUUUACUGUGAAAACCACAAAUAUGUGUGAUGAACUGUUUUUAAAACUUAAACUUCAAAUAAAAAUUGUAAACUUCAAAACAUAUGCAAAUUUUUAACAAAGAACAUAGUAAUUUACCUCUAUUUACAUCAAAAUGCAGGCAAUGGCCCAGGUGUUCUUUGUAAAAUUAUUUACAAAACACUGUAUAGUCUCACAAAUGUCACUUUUUAUUUAUGCCACUACAAAAAAACAUGAUGUAAAUGAUGCAUGAUGUAAAACAUGAUGUAAAAAACUUGUGUAGAUCCUCCUCUAUGUUAGUCCAUGUGUAAUUUUUCCAUAAUUCUUUGUUUUUUGCAGCAUUUUUGUUAGUGUAACUGCAGAUUGUGCUGACAGUGUCUAUGGCAAAAAAAAAACAAAAAAAACUGAAAAUGCCUCAACAUGAACCCCUGGUGGUCUCUGAGGGUGAAACCUGCUAACUGCUGCAGCUCUGUCAGCUUCAGUCUCCCAUGCAGAGCUCGAAGCGCAUGUGUGGCUCUGCACCCUUAGCAGCGUUGCUAACUCCUCAGUAAGGAAAGCCUGCUUCAUGUCAGAGUCUCUAAACUCCAGAAGAAGUCGACAAAAGUCACUUUCUUUCUAAAAAAAAAAGUCGUUAGGGGGUCUGAAAAGUCAUUGAAUCUAACAACAAAGUCGCUAGGUUUGCAACUACGUGUCCCAGACUGCAUCCCUGCUGAGAGUCCCUCCCUCCCUUCUCAUAUUGCAGGAAGAACGUAAGCGCCCGCCCCUUGUCAAUCAGUCACCAUAUAAUUUUGGAUUGGUUGUUGUGGUGAAGUUUUCCACCAAUAGGAGAGAUGUUGUGGUGUGUUUUUUUUUUCCUUUGGCAAGCCUUUUCCGCCUGUAAGAGCUGUCGCUAAUGUCUGCAUGCUAUGUUUUCCUGUCUCAUACAGCGCGAUCGAGCGCCGAACGUGAUCAAAAUAAGCAGAAAACAAGUAUCGCGGACAUAAUUUAUCAUAACUCUGGUUUUAUUUGGCCUAUCAACACAAUUUAAAAACUGGUAUAUAGGUUGAGGUCCUCACUUUUGAGAUAAGUUGAAACGGAGAGUCAACGAGGCUCCGUCUUGCAGCUACAUCCGGUUAAAUAUGUCAUGUGACUUGAACGCACACAUAGACACACACACACGCACACACACACACACACACACACACACACACACACACACACACACACACACACACACUCAGAGUCUGGUUUUUAGCACCUGCAAAAACAUGCUAUUUACAUAUUUGACAAGAAUGCAGAGGCUCCUUUUGCCCCUGAAAAAAAUCAAAUUUCAAACACAACUUGACUGGUCAUUUCUCCAAAAGACAACCAUGAAGCUCCAUCCAAACCUGAAGCAGGCAGUUGGUGCAUGUGUACAGUAACCUGAGGGGAGUGAGGUGACUGCUUCUGAGGAGAACAUGAGCAGUGAAGAUUCACCUUAGAGCUAGAACAGAGACCUGCACAUGAUUAUACAGGGGCAGGGGCUCAAGUUUUUUCCAGUCGUUUAUACAAUAUGGAAAUUAAUGUGAAAUUAAAAAACAAAGUAUUAAUAGAAAGGUAAUGACUGUCCUGUGUAGGUGACAGUGAUAUCCAAUAGGCUAGGCACUCACGAGGCUGGCUGUGGCAAGUGUAAGUGAAAGCAACACGCACUGGCAGGAAGAACAGCAAACGCCGAUGAAGGAAAAGGGUCUUUGCAGUGAUGGGCGUUACCAGAGAGGGCGAUGGCCAGAGGACACAAAUGGGACGGGGAGGCAGCGCGUUGGGGGGGGGGACGCGACACAGCUCGGGCCCGCCAGUGCCCCAACGGGGUCCUAGUUAUUAUUUUUCCUCCCCUUUGAACUGGAAAAUGGCCCACUUCCCACUGGUGAAAACUCAUGAAAUUUGGCAGGACGACCGGGCCUGGUGAAAAAUUUGAUAUUCCGAAGUCGCCCAAACAAGAAAAUGCAAAAUGGCUCCAUAGCGCCCCCUAAGGUGAAAAUUCACACUAUUGACUGUCACGCCGGUACGCUUUGUCAAAAUGACACAAAAAUUGACACACACAUGUAUCUCAAUAAGAUCUACAAAAAAGUCAGUGCGGGCGUAUCUGUCAAAUGUACGGUUAAAGGGUUAUUUCGCAUUUUUUGCCGAUCCGCACACAUUGGAAUUUCGCUAACUCCUCCGAAGGCUUUCGUUCCACCGGCACCACAUUUGCUCAGGCCAAUCUACACCCCAUGGCCAUUAAAAGUUAUUCAAAUCAUGACGCUGCACCCCACGGUUUAGGUUCUAGGGGGCGCCAAAGAUAACCCUAAGAUCCACAUAUUUAAAAGUCUUAUAACUUUUUAUUUUUGCCCUCACUGGCCUCCAAGUUUUCUAGGAUGAUGCAAUGUCCAGCCAUCAACACAUUUGUGAAGGAAUUUUUACUCCCCAAAAGAGCGCCCCCCCAUGGCAGGAGAAAAAAGUCCAUUUUUUCUUGUCCCCUAAGGUGAAAAUACACAUUGUUGAGUGUAACACCUGUACGCUUUGGCAAAAUGACACAAAAAUUGACACACACAUGUAUCUCAAUAAGAUCUACGAAAAAGUCAAUGCGCGCGUAUCUGUCAAAUGUACGGUUAAAGGGUUAUUCCGCAUUUUUUGCCGAUCCGCACACAUUGGAAUUUCGCUAACUCCUCCGAAGGCUUUCGUUCCACCGGCACCACAUUUGCUCAGGCCAAUCUACACCCCAUGGCCAUUAAAAGUUAUUCAAAUCAUGACGCUGCACCCCACGGUUUAGGUUCUAGGGGGAGCCAAAGAUAACCGUAAAAUCCACAUAUUUAAAAGUCUUAUAACUUUUUAUUUUUGUCCCCACUGGCCUACAAGUUUUCUAGGAUGAUGCAAUGUCCAGCCAUCAACACAUUUGUGAAGGAAUUUUUACUCGGCAAAAGAGCGCCCCCCAUGGCAGGAGAAAAAAGUCAAUUUUUUCUUGUCCACUAAGGUGAAAAUACACAUUGUUGAGUGCUACGCCUGUAUGUUUUGUCGUAUUGACACAAAAUUUUACAUACACGUGUAUUUACAUAAGAUCUUCGAAAAAGUCAAUGGCCACGUAUCUGUAAAAUGUACGGUUAAAGGGUUAUUUGGCAUUUUUUGCAGAUUCGCACACAUUGGAAUUUCGCUAAUUCCUCCGAAGGCUUUCGUUCCACCGGCACCACAUUUGCUCAGGCCAAUCUACACCCCAUGGCCAUUAAAAGUUAUUCAAAUCAUGACGCUGCACCCCACGGUUUAGGUUCUAGGGGGCGCCAAAUAUAACCCUAAAAUCCACAUAUUUAAAAGUCUUAUAACUUUUUAUUUUUGUCCUCACUGGCCUCCAUGUUUUCUAGGAUGAUGCAAUGUCCAGCCAUCAACACAUUUGUGAAGGAGUUUUUUCUCUUUAAAAGAGCGCCCCCCCAUGGCAGGAGAAUAAAGUCAAGUUUUUCCUGUUCAUCAUUCAAUGGCUCAAACGCACUGCUCUCUCGGCAAAAGCGAAAGGAGGAGCAACUUGCCAUUUGGAUAUAUCUUAGCUGUGUUUGUGCCCUCACUCAUGGUCCAGACUUUUUUCAAAUAGGACAUGGAGUUUUUCUGCAGCGAGCGUUUUGGUAGAAACUGCGCCUCCCGUUCAUUAUAAUGGUAAAUGACCACAAACAAGUGCGCACACCAUCUUUGGACCUUGAGUGUGACGCGAUCGGGAGGGGGAGGCGGUCGCGCUGGGGGCGGCGUGACACGGCUCGGGCCCGCCAGUGCCCCAACGGGGCCCUAGUUUCUUCUUCUUCUUCUUUAGGGCCCGAGCGUAGCUGCUAAGCAGCUGCGAGAGCCCUCUUGUUCCUGUAGUUUCCUUCUUUUGUUAUUAUUAGGGCCCGAGCGUAGCUGCUAAGCAGCUGCGAGAGCCCUAUUAUUCCCCAAGUGGUUUUUCUUUGUUUCUUUCUUUCUUUCUUUCUUUCUUUCUUUCUUCUUUUUCCUCCCCUUUGAACUGGAAAAUGGCCCACUUCCCACUGGCGAAAACUCAUGAAAUUUGGCAGGACGACCGGGCCUGGUGAAAAAUUCGAUAUUCUGAAGUCGCCCAAACAAGAAAAUGCAAAAUGGCUCCAUAGCGCCCCCUAAGGUGGAAAUUCACACUAUUGACUGUCACGCCUGUACGCUUUGUCAUAUUGACACAAAAAUUGACACACAUAUGUAUCUCAAUAAGAUCUACAAAAAAGUCAGUGCGGCCAUAUCUGUCAAAAUUACGGUUAAAGGGUUAUUUCGCAUUUUUUGCCGAUCCGCACACAUUGGAAUUUCGCUAACUCCUCCGAAGGCUUUCGUUCCACCGGCACCACAUUUUCUCAGGCCAAUCUACACCCCGUGGCCAUUAAAAGUUAUCAAAAUCAUGACGCUGCACCCCAAGGUUUAGGUUCUAGGGGGCGCCAAAGAUAACACUAAAAUCCACAUAUUUAAAAGUCUUAUAACUUUUUAUUUUUGUCCUCACUGGCCUCCAAGUUUUCUAGGAUGAUGCAAUGUCCAGCCAUCAACACAUUUGUGAAGGAAUUUUUACUCCCCAAAAGAGCGCCCCCCCAUGGCAGGAGAAAAAAGUCCAUUUUUUCUUGUCCCCUAAGGUGAAAAUACACAUUGUUGAGUGUCACGCCUAUACGCUUUGUCAAAAUGACACCAAAAUUGACACACACAUGUAACUCAAUAAGAUCUACGAAAAAGUCAAUGCGUGCGUAUCUGUCAAAUGUACGGUUAAAGGGUUAUUCCGCAUUUUUUGCCGAUCCGCACACAUUGGAAUGUGGCUAACUCCUCCUAAGGCUUUCGUUCCACCGGCACCACAUUUGCUCAGGCCAAUCUACACCCCAUGGCCAUUAAAAGUCAUUCAAAUCAUGACGCUGCACCCCACGGUUUAGGUUCUAGGGGGCGCCAAAGAUAACCCUAAAAUCCACAUAUUUAAAAGUCUUAUAACUUUUUAUUUUUGCCCUCACUGGCCUCCAAGUUUUCUAGGAUGAUGCAAUGUCCAGCCAUCAACACAUUUGUGAAGGAAUUUUUACUCCCCAAAAGAGCGCCCCCCCAUGGCAGGAGAAAAAAGUCCAUUUUUUCUUGUCCCCUAAGGUGAAAAUACAUAUUGUUGAGAUUCACGCCUAUACGCUUUGUCAUAUUGACACAAAAUUUGACAAUCACGUGCCUUGCCUGGUAUCAUUUCUUUCAGCACAACCUCACCUGUGCGAAUUUACAGUUAUUUUAUCAUGUUGACAUACUGAAUUUACACAAUGGACCCAAAUUCACACACAAAACAUAAAAUCCGAGUGGAAAAAAGUAACAUUUUUACUGUGAAAACCACAAAUAUGUGUGAUGAACUGUUUUUAAAACUUAAACUUCAAAUAAAAAUUGUAAACUUCAAAACAUAUGCAAAUUUUUAACAAAGAACAUAGUGAUUUACCUCUAUUUACAUCAAAAUGCAGGCAAUGGCCCAGGUGUUCUUUGUAAAAUUAUUUACAAAACACUGUAUAGUCUCACAAAUGUCACUUUUUAUUUAUGCCACUACAAAAAAAACAUGAUGUAAAUGAUGCAUGAUGUAAAACAUGAUGUAAAAAACUUGUGUAGAUCCUCCUCUAUGUCAGUCCAUGUGUAAUUUUUCCAUAAUUCUUUGUUUUUUGCAGCAUUUUUGUUAGUGUAACUGCAGAUUGUGCUGACAGUGUCUAUGGCACAAAAAAAAAAAAAAUUAAAAUGCCUCAACAUGAACCCCUGGUGGUCUCUGAGGGUGAAACCUGCUAACUGCUGCAGCUCUGUCAGCUUCAGUCUCCCAUGCAGAGCUCUGAGCGCAUGUGUGGCUCUGCACCCUUAGCAGCGUUGCUAACUCCUCAGUAAGGAAAGCCUGCUUCAUGUCAGAGUCUCUAAACUCCAGAAGAAGUCGAUAAAAGUCCCUUUCUUUCUAAAAAAAAGUCGUUAGGGGGUCUGAAAAGUCAUUGAAUCUAACAACAAAGUCGCUAGGUUUGCAACUACGUGUCCCAGACUGCAUCCCUGCUGAGAGUCCCUCCCUCCCUUCUCAUGUUGCAGGAAGAACGUAAGCGCCCGCCCCUUGUCAUUCAGUCACCAUAUAAUUUUGGAUUGGUUGUUGUGGUGAAGUUUUCCACCAAUAGGAGAGAUGUUGUGGUGUGUUUUUUUUUUCUUUUGGCAAGCCUUUUCCGCCUGUAAGACCUGUCGCUAAUGUCUGCAUGCUAUGUUUUCCUGUCUCAUACAGCGCGAUCGAGCGCCGAACGUGAUCAAAAUAAGCAGAAAAAAAGUAUCGCGGACAUAAUUUAUCAUAACUUUGGUUUUAUUUGGCCUAUCAACACAAUUUAAAAACUGGUAUAUAGGUUGAGGUCCUCACUUUUGAGAUAAGUUGAAACGGAGAGUCAACGAGGCUCCGUCUUGCAGCUACAUCCGGUUAAAUAUGUCAUGUGACUUGAACGCACACACAGACACACACACACGCACACACACACACACACACACACACACACACACACACACACACACACACACACUCAGAGUCUGGUUUUUAGCACCUGCAAAAACAUGCUAUUUACAUAUUUGACAAGAAUGCAGAGGCUCCUUUUGCCCCUGAAAAAAAUCAAAUUUCAAACACAACUUGACUGGUCAUUUCUCCAAAAGACAACCAUGAAGCUCCAUCCAAACCUGAAGCAGGCAGUUGGUGCAUGUGUACAAUAACCUGAGGGGAGUGAGGUGAGUGCUUCUGAGGAGAACAUGAGCAGUGAAGAUUCACCUUGGUGCUAGAACAGAGACAUGCACAUGAUUAUACAGGGGCAGGGGCUCAAGUUUUUUCCAGUCGUUUAUACAAUAUGGAAAUUAAUGUGAAAUUAAAACACAAAGUAUUAAUAGAAAGGUAAUGACUGUCCUGUGUAGGUGACAGUGAUAUCCAAUAGGCUAGGCACUCACGAGGCUGGCUGUGGCAAGUGUAAGUGAAAGCAACACGCACUGGCAGGAAGAACAGCAAACGCCGAUGAAGGAAAAGGGUCUUUGCAGUGAUGGGCGUUACCAGAGAGGGCGAUGGCCAGAGGACACAAAUGGGACGGGGAGGCAGCACGUUGGGGGGGGGGGGGGGGGGGGGGGGGAUGCGACACGGCUCGGGCCCGCCAGUGCCCCAACGGGGUCCUAGUUCUUUCUUUCUUCUUUUUCCUCCCCUUUGAACUGGAAAAUGGCCCACUUCCCACUGGCGAAAACUCAUGAAAUUUGGCAGGAUGACCGGGCCUGGUGAAAAAUUUGAUAUUCCGAAGUCGCCCAAACAAGAAAAUGCAAAAUGGCUCCAUAGCGCCCCCUAAGGUGAAAAUUCACACUAUUGACUGUCACGCCUUUACGCUUUGUCAAAAUGACACAAAAAUUGACACACAUAUGUAUCUCAAUAAGAUCUACAAAAAAGUCAGUGCGGGCAUAUCUGUCAAAUGUACGGUUAAAGGGUUAUUUCACAUUUUUUGCCGAUCCGCACACAUUGGAAUUUCGCUAACUCCUACGAAGGCUUUCUUUCCACCGGCACCACAUUUGCUCAGGCCAAUCUACACCCCAUGGCCAUUAAAAGUUAUUCAAAUCAUGACGCUGCACCCCACGGUUUAGGUUCUAGGGGGCGCCAAAGAUAACCCAAAAAUCCACAUAUUUAAAAGUCUUAUAACUUUUUAUUUUUUUCCUCACUGGCCUCCAAGUUUUCUAGGAUGAUGCAAUGUCCAGCCAUCAACACAUUUGUGAAGGAAUUUUUACUCCCCAAAAGAGCGCCCCCCCAUGGCCGGAGAAAAAAGUCCAUUUUUUCUUGUCCCCUAAGGUUGAAAAUACACAUUGUUGAGUGUCACGCCUGUACGCUUUGUCAUAUUGACACAAAAUUUGACACACACAUGUAUCUCAAUAAGAUCUACGAAAAAGUCAAUGCGGGCGUAUCUGUCAAAUGUACGGUUAAAGGGUUAUUCCGCAUUUUUUGCUGAUCCGCACACAUUGGAAUUUCGCUAACUCCUCCUAAGGCUGGCGUUCCACCGGCACCACAUUUGCUCAGGCCAAUCUACACCCCAUGGCCAUUAAAAGUUAUUCAAAUCAUGACGCUGCACCCCACGGUUUAGGUUCUAGGGGGCGCCAAAGAUAACCCUAAAAUCCACAUAUUUCAAAGUCUUAUAACUUUUUAUUUUUGUCCUCACUGCCCUCCAAGUUUUCUAGGAUGAUGCAAUGUCCAGCCAUCAACACAUUUGUGAAGGAAUUUUUACUCCCCAAAAGAGCGCCCCCCCAUGGAAGGAGAAAAAAGUCAAUUUUUUCUUGUCCCGUAAGGUGAAAAUUCACAUUGUUAAGUGUGACACCUGUACGCUUUGUCAUAUUGACACAAAAUUUGACAAUCACGUGUAUCUUAAUAAGAUCUACGAAAAAGUCAAUGCGCGCGUAUCUGUCAAAUGUACGGUUAGAGGGCUAUUUUGCAUUUUUUGCCGAUUCGCACACAUUGGAAUGUGGCUAUCUCCUCCUAAGGCUUUCGUCCCACUGAAACCAAAUUUGCUCAGGCCAAUCUACACCCCAUGGCCAUUAAAAGUUAUUCAAAUCAUGAUGCUGCACCCCACGGUUUACGUUCUAGGGGGCGCCAAAGAUGACCAAAAAAUCCACAUUCUUAAAAGAAUCCACAUUCUCCCCCCAUGGCAGGAGAAAAAGUCAAGUUUUUCCUGCCCAUCGCUCAAUGGCUCAAUCGCAUCGCUCUCCAGGCAACACCGUAACGAGGAGCAACCUGCCAUUUGGAUAUAUCCCAGCUGUGUUUGUGCCCUCACUCAUGGUCCAGACUUUUUUCAAAUAGGACAUGAAGUUUGUCUGCAGCGAGUGUUUUGGUAGAAACUGCGCCUCCCAUUCAUUAUAAUGGGAAAUGACCACAGACAAGUGCGCACACCAUCUUUGGUCCUUGAGUGUGACGCGAUCGGGAGGGAGAGGCGGUCACCCUGGGGGCGGCACGAUGCGGCUCGGGCCCGACAGUGCCCCACCGGGGCCCUAGUUAUUAUUAUUUUUCCUCCCCUUUGAACUGGAAAAUGGCCCACUUCCCACUGGUGAAAACUCAUGAAAUUUGGCAGGACGACCGGGCCUGGUGAAAAAUUUGAUAUUCCGAAGUCGCCCAAACAAGAAAAUGCAAAAUGGCUCCAUAGCGCCCCCUAAGGUGAAAAUUCACACUAUUGACUGUCACGCCGGUACGCUUUGUCAAAAUGACACAAAAAUUGACACACACAUGUAUCUCAAUAAGAUCUACAAAAAAGUCAGUGCGGGCGUAUCUGUCAAAUGUACGGUUAAAGGGUUAUUUCGCAUUUUUUGCCGAUCCGCACACAUUGGAAUUUCGCUAACUCCUCCGAAGGCUUUCGUUCCACCGGCACCACAUUUGCUCAGGCCAAUCUACACCCCAUGGCCAUUAAAAGUUAUUCAAAUCAUGACGCUGCACCCCACGGUUUAGGUUCUAGGGGGCGCCAAAGAUAACCCUAAGAUCCACAUAUUUAAAAGUCUUAUAACUUUUUAUUUUUGCCCUCACUGGCCUCCAAGUUUUCUAGGAUGAUGCAAUGUCCAGCCAUCAACACAUUUGUGAAGGAAUUUUUACUCCCCAAAAGAGCGCCCCCCCAUGGCAGGAGAAAAAAGUCCAUUUUUUCUUGUCCCCUAAGGUGAAAAUACACAUUGUUGAGUGUAACACCUGUACGCUUUGGCAUAAUGACACAAAAAUUGACACACACGUAUCUCAAUAAGAUCUACGAAAAAGUAAAUGCGCGCGUAUCUGUCAAAUGUACGGUUAAAGGGUUAUUCCGCAUUUUUUGCCGAUCCGCAAACAUUGGAAUUUCGCUAACUCCUCCGAAGGCUUUCGUUCCACCGGCACCACAUUUGCUCAGGCCAAUCUACACCCCAUGGCCAUUAAAAGUUAUUCAAAUCAUGACGCUGCACCCCACGGUUUAGGUUCUAGGGGGAGCCAAAGAUAACCGUAAAAUCCACAUAUUUAAAAGUCUUAUAACUUUUUAUUUUUGCCCUCACUGGCCUCCAAGUUUUCUAGGAUGAUGCAAUGUCCAGCCAUCAACACAUUUGUGAAGGAAUUUUUACUCCCCAAAAGAGCGCCCCCCAUGGCAGGAGAAAAAAGUCCAUUUUUUCUUGUCCCCUAAGGUGAAAAUACACAUUGUUGAGUGUAACACCUGUACGCUUUGGCAAAAUGACACAAAAAUUGACACACACAUGUAUCUCAAUAAGAUCUACGAAAAAGUCAAUGCGCGCGUAUCUGUCAAAUGUACGGUUAAAGGGUUAUUCCGCAUUUUUUGCCGAUCCGCACACAUUGGAAUUUCGCUAACUCCUCCGAAGGCUUUCGUUCCACCGGCACCACAUUUGCUCAGGCCAAUCUACACCCCAUGGCCAUUAAAAGUUAUUCAAAUCAUGACGCUGCACCCCACGGUUUAGGUUCUAGGGGGAGCCAAAGAUAACCGUAAAAUCCACAUAUUUAAAAGUCUUAUAACUUUUUAUUUUUGUCCCCACUGGCCUCCAAGUUUUCUAGGAUGAUGCAAUGUCCAGCCAUCAACACAUUUGUGAAGGAAUUUUUACUCGGCAAAAGAGCGCCCCCCCAUGGCAGGAGAAAAAAGUCAAUUUUUUCUUGUCCCCUAAGGUGAAAAUACACAUUGUUGAGUGUAACACCUGUACGCUUUGGCAUAAUGACACAAAAAUUGACACACACGUAUCUCAAUAAGAUCUACGAAAAAGUAAAUGCGCGCGUAUCUGUCAAAUGUACGGUUAAAGGGUUAUUCCGCAUUUUUUGCCGAUCCGCAAACAUUGGAAUUUCGCUAACUCCUCCGAAGGCUUUCGUUCCACCGGCACCACAUUUGCUCAGGCCAAUCUACACCCCAUGGCCAUUAAAAGUUAUUCAAAUCAUGACGCUGCACCCCACGGUUUAGGUUCUAGGGGGAGCCAAAGAUAACCGUAAAAUCCACAUAUUUAAAAGUCUUAUAACUUUUUAUUUUUGCCCUCACUGGCCUCCAAGUUUUCUAGGAUGAUGCAAUGUCCAGCCAUCAACACAUUUGUGAAGGAAUUUUUACUCCCCAAAAGAGCGCCCCCCCAUGGCAGGAGAAAAAAGUCCAUUUUUUCUUGUCCCCUAAGGUGAAAAUACACAUUGUUGAGUGUAACACCUGUACGCUUUGGCAAAAUGACACAAAAAUUGACACACACAUGUAUCUCAAUAAGAUCUACGAAAAAGUCAAUGCGCGCGUAUCUGUCAAAUGUACGGUUAAAGGGUUAUUCCGCAUUUUUUGCCGAUCCGCACACAUUGGAAUUUCGCUAACUCCUCCGAAGGCUUUCGUUCCACCGGCACCACAUUUGCUCAGGCCAAUCUACACCCCAUGGCCAUUAAAAGUUAUUCAAAUCAUGACGCUGCACCCCACGGUUUAGGUUCUAGGGGGAGCCAAAGAUAACCGUAAAAUCCACAUAUUUAAAAGUCUUAUAACUUUUUAUUUUUGUCCCCACUGGCCUACAAGUUUUCUAGGAUGAUGCAAUGUCCAGCCAUCAACACAUUUGUGAAGGAAUUUUUACUCGGCAAAAGAGCGCCCCCCCAUGGCAGGAGAAAAAAGUCAAUUUUUUCUUGUCCACUAAGGUGAAAAUACACAUUGUUGAGUGCUACGCCUGUAUGUUUUGUCGUAUUGACACAAAAUUUUACAUACACGUGUAUUUACAUAAGAUCUUCGAAAAAGUCAAUGGCCACGUAUCUGUAAAAUGUACGGUUAAAGGGUUAUUUGGCAUUUUUUGCAGAUUCGCACACAUUGGAAUUUCGCUAAUUCCUCCGAAGGCUUUCGUUCCACCGGCACCACAUUUGCUCAGGCCAAUCUACACCCCAUGGCCAUUAAAAGUUAUUCAAAUCAUGACGCUGCACCCCACGGUUUAGGUUCUAGGGGGCGCCAAAUAUAACCCUAAAAUCCACAUAUUUAAAAGUCUUAUAACUUUUUAUUUUUGUCCUCACUGGCCUCCAUGUUUUCUAGGAUGAUGCAAUGUCCAGCCAUCAACACAUUUGUGAAGGAGUUUUUUCUCUUUAAAAGAGCGCCCCCCAUGGCAGGAGAAUAAAGUCAAGUUUUUCCUGUUCAUCAUUCAAUGGCUCAAACGCACUGCUCUCUCGGCAAAAGCGAAAGGAGGAGCAACUUGCCAUUUGGAUAUAUCUUAGCUGUGUUUGUGCCCUCACUCAUGGUCCAGACUUUUUUCAAAUAGGACAUGGAGUUUUUCUGCAGCGAGCGUUUUGGUAGAAACUGCGCCUCCCGUUCAUUAUAAUGGUAAAUGACCACAAACAAGUGCGCACACCAUCUUUGGACCUUGAGUGUGACGCGAUCGGGUGGGGGAGGCGGUCGCGCUGGGGGCGGCGUGACACGGCUCGGGCCCGCCAGUGCCCCAACGGGGCCCUAGUUAGGGCCCGAGCGUAGCUGCUAAGCAGCUGCGAGAGCCCUCUUGUUCCUGAUGGAUUCUUCUUUCGUUAUUUUUCCUCCGCUUUAAACUGGAAAAUGGCCCACUUCCCACUGGCGAAAACUCAGGAAAUUUGGCAGGACGACCGGGCCUGGUGAAAAAUUUGAUAUUCUGAAGUCGCCCAAACAAAAAAAUGAAAAAUGGCUGCAUAGCGCCCCCUAUGGUGAAAACUCACCUGACGCCUGUACACUUUGUCAAAAUGACACAAAAUUUGACACACAUGUGUAUCUCAAUAAGAUCUACAAAAAAGUCAGUGCGGGCGUAUCUGUCAAAUGUACCGUUAAAGGGCUAUUUCGCAUUUUUUGCCGAUCCGCACACAUUGGAAUUUCGCUAACUCCUCCGAAGGCUUUCGUUCCACCGGCACCACAUUUGCUCAGGCCAAUCUACACCCCAUGGCCAUUAAAAGUUGUACAAAUCAUGAUGCUGCACCCCACGGUUUACGUUCUAGGGGGCGCCAAAGAUAACCCAAAAAUCCACAUUCUUAAAAGUCAUAACUUUUUAUUUUUGUCCUCACUGGCCUCCAAGUUUUCUAGGAUGAUGCCAUGUCAAGCCAUCAACACAUUUGUGAAGGAAUUUUUACUCCCCAAAAGAGCGCCCCCCCAUGGCAGGAGAAAAAAGUCAAGUUUUUCUUGUCCCCUAACAUGAAAAUACACAUUGUUGAGUGUCACGCCUAAACGCUUUGUCAUAUUGACAAAAAAUUUGACAAUCACGUGUAUCUCAAUAAGAUCUACAAAAAAGUCAAAGAGCGCGUAUCUGUAUAAUGUACGGUUAAAGGGCUAUUUUGCAUUUUUUGCCGAUCCGCACACAUUGGAAUUUCGCUAACUCCUCCGAAGGCUUUCGUUCCACCGGCACCAAAUUUGCUCAGGCCAAUCUACACCCCAUGGCCAUUAAAAGUUGUACAAAUCAUGACGCUGCACCCCACGGUUUAGGUUCUAGGGGGCGCCAAAGAUAACCCAAAAAUCCACAUUCUUAAAAGUCUUAUAACUUUUUAUUUUUGUCCUCACUGGCCUCCAAGUUUUCUAGGAUAAUGCAAUGUGCAGCCAUCAACACAUUUGUGAAGGAAAUUUUACUCCCCAAAAGAGCGCCCCCCCAUGGCAGGAGAAAAAAGUCUAUUUUUUCUUGUCCCCUAAGGUGAAAAUACACAUUGUUUAGUGUCACGCCUGUACGCUUUGGCAAAAUGACACAAAUAUUGACACACACAUGUAUCUCAAUAAGAUCUACGAAAAAGUCAAAGAGCGCGUAUCUGUCAAAUGUACGGUUAAAGGGUUAUUCCGCAUUUUUUGCCGAUCCGCACACAUUGGAAUGUGGCUAACUCCUCCUAAGGCUUUCGUUCCACUGGCACCACAUUUGCUCAGGCCAAUCUACACCCCAUGGCCAUUAAAAGUUAUUCAAAUCAUGACGCUGCACCCCACGGUUUAGGUUCUAGGGGGCGCCAAAGAUAACCCUAAAAUCCACAUAUUUAAAAGUCUUAUAACUUCUUAUUUUUGUCCUCACUGGCCUCCAGGUUUUCUAGGAUGAUGCAAUGUCCAGCCAUCAACACAUUUGUGAAGGAAUUUUUACUCCCCAAAAGAGCGCCCCCCCAUGGCAGGAGAAAAAAGUCCAUUUUUUCUUGUCCCCUAAGGUGAAAAUACAUAUUGUUGAGAUUCACGCCUAUACGCUUUGUCAUAUUGACACAAAAUUUGACAAUCACGUGUAUCUCAAUAAGAUCUACGAAAAAGUCAAUGGGCGUGUAUCUGUCAAAUGUACGGUUAAAGGGCUAUUUUGCAUUUUUUGCCGAUUCGCACACAUUGGAAUGUGGCUAACUCCUCCUAAGGCUUUCGUCCCACUGACACCAAAUUUGCUCAGGCCAAUCUACACCCCAUGGCCAUUCAAAGUUGUAAAAAUCAUGACGCUGCACCCCACGGCUCACGUUCUAGGGGGCGCCAAAGAUGACCCAAAUAUCCACAUUCUUAAAAGAAUCCACAUCCCCCCCCCCAUCCCCCAUCCCCCAUGGCAGGAGAAACAGUCAAGUUUUUCCUGCCCAUCGCUCAAUGGCUCAAUCGCAUCGCUCUCCCGGCAACACCGUAACAAGGAGCAACUUGCCGUUUGGAUAUAUCCUAGCUGUGUUUGUGCCCUCACUCAUGGUCCAGACUUUUUUCAAAUAGGACAUGUAGUUUGUCUGCAGCGAGUGUUUUGGUAGAAUAUGCGCCUCCCAUUCAUUAUAAUGGGAAAUGACCACAGACAAGUGCGCACACCAUCUUUGGACCUUGAGUUUGACGCGAUCGGGAGGGGGAGGCGGUCGCGCCGGGGACGGCGCAUCGCGGCUCGGGCCCGACAGUGCCCCACCGGGGCCCUAGUUCUUUCUUUCUUUCUUCUUUUUCCUCCCCUUUGAACUGGAAAAUGGCCCACUUCCCACUGGCGAAAACUCAUGAAAUUUGGCAGGACGACCGGGCCUGGUGAAAAAUUCGAUAUUCUGAAGUCGCCCAAACAAGAAAAUGCAAAAUGGCUCCAUAGCGCCCCCUAAGGUGGAAAUUCACACUAUUGACUGUCACGCCUGUACGCUUUGUCAUAUUGACACAAAAAUUGACACACAUAUGUAUCUCAAUAAGAUCUACAAAAAAGUCAGUGCGGCCGUAUCUGUCAAAAUUACGGUUAAAGGGUUAUUUCGCAUUUUUUGCCGAUCCGCACACAUUGGAAUUUCGCUAACUCCUCCGAAGGCUUUCGUUCCACCGGCACCACAUUUGCUCAGGCCAAUCUACACCCCGUGGCCAUUAAAAGUUAUUCAAAUCAUGACGCUGCACCCCACGGUUUAGGUUCUAGGGGGCGCCAAAGAUAACCCUAAAAUCCACAUAUUUCAAAGUCUUAUAACUUUUUAUUUUUGUCCUCACUGGCCUCCAAGUUUUCUAGGAUGAUGCAAUGUCCAGCCAUCAACACAUUUGUGAAGGCAUUUUUACUCCCCAAAAGAGCGCCCCCCCAUGGCAGGAGAAAAAGUCCAUUUUUUCUUGUCCCCUAAGGUGAAAAUACACAUUGUUGAGUGUCACGCCUAUACGCUUUGUCAAAAUGACACAAAAAUUGACACACACAUGUAACUCAAUAAGAUCUACGAAAAAGUCAAUGCGCGCGUAUCUGUCAAAUGUACGGUUAAAGGGUUAUUCCGCAUUUUUUGCCGAUCCGCACACAUUGGAAUGUGGCUAACUCCUCCUAAGGCUUUCGUUCCACCGGCACCACAUUUGCUCAGGCCAAUCUACACCCCAUGGCCAUUAAAAGUUAUCAAAAUCAUGACGCUGCACCCCACGGUUUAGGUUCUAGGGGGCGCCAAAGAUAACCCUAAAAUCCACAUAUUUAAAAGUCUUAUAACUUUUUAUUUUUGUCCUCACUGGCCUCCAAGUUUUCUAGGAUGAUGCAAUGUCCAGCCAUCAACAAAUUUGUGAAGGAAUUUUUACUCCCCAAAAGAGCGCCCCCCCAUGGCAGGAGAAAAAAGUCCAUUUUUUCUUGUCCCCUAAGGUGAAAAUACAUAUUGUUGAGAUUCACGCCUAUACGCUUUGUCAUAUUGACACAAAAUUUGACAAUCACGUGCCUUGCCUGGUAUCAUUUUUUUCAGCACAACCUCACCUGUGCGAAUUUACAGUUAUUUUAUCAUGUUGACAUACUGAAUUUACACAAUGGACCCAAAUUCACACACAAAACAUAAAAUCCGAGUGGAAAAAAGUAACAUUUUUACUGUGAAAACCACAAAUAUGUGUGAUGAACUGUUUUUAAAACUUAAACUUCAAAUAAAAAUUGUAAACUUCAAAACAUAUGCAAAUUUUUAACAAAGAACAUAGUGAUUUACCUCUAUUUACAUCAAAAUGCAGGCAAUGGCCCAGGCGUUCUUUGUAAAAUUAUUUACAAAACACUGUAUAGUCUCACAAAUGUCACUUUUUAUUUAUGCCACUACAAAAAAACAUGAUGUAAAUGAUGCAUGAUGUAAAACAUGAUGUAAAAAACUUGUGUAGAUCCUCCUGUAUGUCAGUCCAUGUGUAAUUUUUCCAUAAUUCUUUGUUUUUUGCAGCAUUUUUGUUAGUGUAACUGCAGAUUGUGCUGACAGUGUCUAUGGCACAAAAAAAAAAAAAAUUAAAAUGCCUCAACAUGAACCCCUGGUGGUCUCUGAGGGUGAAACCUGCUAACUGCUGCAGCUCUGUCAGCUUCAGUCUCCCAUGCAGAGCUCUGAGCGCAUGUGUGGCUCUGCACCCUUAGCAGCGUUGCUAACUCCUCAGUAAGGAAAGCCUGCUUCAUGUCAGAGUCUCUAAACUCCAGAAGAAGUCGAUAAAAGUCCCUUUCUUUCUAAAAAAAAGUCGUUAGGGGGUCUGAAAAGUCAUUGAAUCUAACAACAAAGUCGCUAGGUUUGCAACUACGUGUCCCAGACUGCAUCCCUGCUGAGAGUCCCUCCCUCCCUUCUCAUGUUGCAGGAAGAACGUAAGCGCCCGCCCCUUGUCAAUCAGUCACCAUAUAAUUUUGGAUUGGUUGUUGUGGUGAAGUUUUCCACCAAUAGGAGAGAUGUUGUGGUGUGUUUUUUUUUUUCUUUUGGCAAGCCUUUUCCGCCUGUAAGAGCUGUCGCUAAUGUCUGCAUGCUAUGUUUUCCUGUCUCAUACAGCGCGAUCGAGCGCCGAACGUGAUCAAAAUAAGCAGAAAAAAAGUAUCGCGGACAUAAUUUAUCAUAACUCUGGUUUUAUUUGGCCUAUCAACACAAUUUAAAAACUGGUAUAUAGGUUGAGGUCCUCACUUUUGAGAUAAGUUGAAACGGAGAGUCAACGAGGCUCCGUCUUGCAGCUACAUCCGGUUAAAUAUGUCAUGUGACUUGAACGCACACACAGACACACACACACACGCACACACACACACACACACACACACACACACACACUCAGAGUCUGGUUUUUAGCACCUGCAAAAACAUGCUAUUUACAUAUUUGACAAGAAUGCAGAGGCUCCUUUUGCCCCUGAAAAAAAUCAAAUUUCAAACACAACUUGACUGCUCAUUUCUCCAAAAGACAACCAUGAAGCUCCAUCCAAACCUGAAGCAGGCAGUUGGUGCAUGUGUACAGUAACCUGAGGGGAGUGAGGUGAGUGCUUCUGAGGAGAACAUGAGCAGUGAAGAUUCACCUUGGAGCUAGAACAGAGACAUGCACAUGAUUAUACAGGGGCAGGGGCUCAAGUUUUUUCCAGUUGUUUAUACAAUAUGGAAAUUAAUGUGAAAUUAAAACACAAAGUAUUAAUAGAAAGGUAAUGACUGUCCUGUGUAGGUGACAGUGAUAUCCAAUAGGCUAGGCACUCACGAGGCUGGCUGUGGCAAGUGUAAGUGAAAGCAACACGCACUGGCAGGAAGAACAGCAAACGCCGAUGAAGGAAAAGGGUCUUUGCAGUGAUGGGCGUUACCAGAGAGGGCGAUGGCCAGAGGACACAAAUGGGACGGGGAGGCAGCACGUUGGGGGGGGACGCGACACGGCUCGGGCCCGCCAGUGCCCCAACGGGGUCCUAGUUCUUUCUUUCUUUCUUCUUUUUCCUCCCCUUUGAACUGGAAAAUGGCCCACUUCCCACUGGCGAAAACUCAUGAAAUUUGGCAGGACGACCGGGCCUGGUGAAAAAUUCGAUAUUCUGAAGUCGCCCAAACAAUAAAAUGCAAAAUGGCUCCAUAGCGCCCCCUAAGGUGGAAAUUCACACUAUUGACUGUCACACCUGUACGCUUUGUCAUAUUGACACAAAAAUUGACACACAUAUGUAUCUCAAUAAGAUCUACAAAAAAGUCAGUGCGGCCGUAUCUGUCAAAAUUACGGUUAAAGGGUUAUUUCGCAUUUUUUGCCGAUCCGCACACAUUGGAAUUUCGCUAACUCCUCCAAAGGCUUUCGUUCCACCGGCACCACAUUUGCUCAGGCCAAUCUACACCCCGUGGCCAUUAAAAGUUAUCAAAAUCAUGACGCUGCACCCCAAGGUUUAGGUUCUAGGGGGCGCCAAAGAUAACACUAAAAUCCACAUAUUUAAAAGUCUUAUAACUUUUUAUUUUUGUCCUCACUGGCCUCCAAGUUUUCUAGGAUGAUGCAAUGUCCAGCCAUCAACACAUUUGUGAAGGAAUUUUUACUCCCCAAAAGAGCGCCCCCCCAUGGCAGGAGAAAAAAGUCCAUUUUUUCUUGUCCCCUAAGGUGAAAAUACACAUUGUUGAGUGUCACGCCUAUACACUUUGUCAAAAUGACACAAAAAUUGACACACACAUGUAACUCAAUAAGAUCUACGAAAAAGUCAAUGCGCGCGUAUCUGUCAAAUGUACGGUUAAAGGGUUAUUUCGCAUUUUUUGCCGAUCCGCACACAUUGGAAUGUGGCUAACUCCUCCUAAGGCUUUCGUUCCACCGGCACCACAUUUGCUCAGGCCAAUCUACACCCCGUGGCCAUUAAAAGUUAUCAAAAUCAUGACGCUGCACCCCAAGGUUUAGGUUCUAGGGGGCGCCAAAGAUAACCCUAAAAUCCACAUAUUUAAAAGUCUUAUAACUUUUUAUUUUUGUCCUCACUGGCCUCCAAGUUUUCUAGGAUGAUGCAAUGUCCAGCCAUCAACACAUUUGUGAAGGAAUUUUUACUCCCCAAAAGAGCGCCCCCCCAUGGCAGGAGAAAAAAGUCCAUUUUUUCUUGUCCCCUAAGGUGAAAAUACAUAUUGUUGAGAUUCACGCCUAUACGCUUUGUCAUAUUGACACAAAAUUUGACAAUCACGUGCCUUACCUGGUAUCAUUUUUUUCAGCACAACCUCACCUGUGCGAAUUUACAGUUAUUUUAUCAUGUUGACAUACUGAAUUUACACAAUGGACCCAAAUUCACACACAAAACAUAAAAUCCGAGUGGAAAAAAGUAACAUUUUUACUGUGAAAACCACAAAUAUGUGUGAUGAACUGUUUUUAAAACUUAAACUUCAAAUAAAAAAUUGUAAACUUCAAAACAUAUGCAAAUUUUAAACAAAGAACAUAGUGAUUUACCUCUAUUUACAUCAAAAUGCAGGCAAUGGCCCAGGCGUUCUUUGUAAAAUUAUUUACAAAACACUGUAUAGUCUCACAAAUGUCACUUUUUAUUUAUGCCACUACAAAAAAACAUGAUGUAAAUGAUGCAUGAUGUAAAACAUGAUGUAAAAAACUUGCGUAGAUCCUCCUCUAUGUCAGUCCAUGUGUAAUUUUUCCAUAAUUCUUUGUUUUUUGCAGCAUUUUUGUUAGUGUAACUGCAGAUUGUGCUGACAGUGUCUAUGGCACAAAAAAAAAAAUUCAAAAUGCCUCAACAUGAACCCCUGGUGGUCUCUGAGGGUGAAACCUGCUAACUGCUGCAGCUCUGUCAGCUUCAGUCUCCCAUGCAGAGCUCUGAGCGCAUGUGUGGCUCUGCACCCUUAGCAGCGUUGCUAACUCCUCAGUAAGGAAAGCCUGCUUCAUGUCAGAGUCUCUAAACUCCAGAAGAAGUCGAUAAAAGUCCCUUUCUUUCUAAAAAAAAGUUGUUAGGGGGUCUGAAAAGUCAUUGAAUCUAACAACAAAGUCGCUAGGUUUGCAACUACGUGUCCCAGACUGCAUCCCUGCUGAGAGUCCCUCCCUCCCUUCUCAUGUUGCAGGAAGAACGUAAGCGCCCGCCCCUUGUCAAUCAGUCACCAUAUAAUUUUGGAUUGGUUGUUGUGGUGAAGUUUUCCACCAAUAGGAGAGAUGUUGUGGUGUGUUUUUUUUUCUUUUGGCAAGCCUUUUCCGCCUGUAACGUCUGGUUCACACUGGAAGCGCCGCGCGCGGAACGGAAGCGCCGCGCACAGAGUUUCAGAUCGGCGCCCAUGUUAACCUAUGAGACUGUUCACACAGCACGUGCGCGGAACGGCUCGCGCUCUGGAGCGCGGCUGCUCCGCUUCUCUCUAUUUUUGGCGCGAGCCGCGCGCGCCGAUGUAAAGCUCAACAGAGCAGAUCGGACCAGACAGGAAGUCAGGAAGGAGAUGCGAGAGAAUCCGGUCAAUUUUCAAAAUAAAGUAAAUUUCAAUAAAUUAGAAAAAGAUUGACGGUGUUGCUUGUCGGUCUAUUUUUUUUACCGAUGAACACACACACACACACACACACACACACACACACACACACACACACACACACACACACACACACACACGGAGGGAGAGCUGCAGAGAUUCAGUGAUGUUAUUGAGACAAAGAGGGGGGGGGACUUUAUUACGAUACAGUCAAUAGCCUCGAGCUAACAAGGCUAUACAUACAACGGAGUCAACAGACUUCCCAAUUUAUUCGUCGUUUACCCCUAUAUAAUAAUUUAAAACAAUACUUGAAGAUGCUGUCAAUAUUUAAUUCAUGUAUGACGAAAUAAAAACGUAAAUAAAUAGUGAUUUACCCAUUUUUAAAGCGCUCGUAAGUGUGGAAAACUGAGGGCAGACGGAAACGGCCGAGCACUACCAGGGCUCAGUCGAUGUCUGACCGGCAUGUCAGAGCGCAGCAGAAAGCGCUUCCUGUGUGAACAGCCAAGCGCGAGCCGGCGCUGCGCGCGCGCGCGGCGCUUCCGUUCCGCGCGCGGCGCUUCCAGUGUGAACCAGACGUAAGACCUGUCGCUAAUGUCUGCAUGCUAUGUUUUCCUGUCUCAUACAGCGCGAUCGAGCGCCGAACGUGAUCAAAAUAAGCAGAAAAAAAGUAUCGCGGACAUAAUUUAUCAUAACUCUGGUUUUAUUUGGCCUAUCAACACAAUUUAAAAACUGGUAUAUAGGUUGAGGUCCUCACUUUUGAGAUAAGUUGAAACAGAGAGUCAACGAGGCUCCGUCUUGCAGCUACAUCCGGUUAAAUAUGUCAUGUGACUUGAACGCACACACAGACACACACACACGCACACACACACACACACACACACACACACUCAGAGUCUGGUUUUUAGCACCUGCAAAAACAUGCUAUUUACAUAUUUGACAAGAAUGCAGAGGCUCCUUUUGCCCCUGAAAAAAUCAAAUUUCAAACACAACUUGACUGGUCAUUUCUCCAAAAGACAACCAUGAAGCUCCAUCCAAACCUGAAGCAGGCAGUUGGUGCAUGUGUACAGUAACCUGAGGGGAGUGAGGUGAGUGCUUCUGAGGAGAACAUGAGCAGUGAAGAUUCACCUUGGAGCUAGAACAGAGACAUGCACAUGAUUAUACAGGGGCAGGGGCUCAAGUUUUUUCCAGUCGUUUAUACAAUAUGGAAAUUAAUGUGAAAUUAAAACACAAAGUAUUAAUAGAAAGGUAAUGACUGUCCUGUGUAGGUGACAGUGAUAUCCAAUAGGCUAGGCACUCACGAGGCUGGCUGUGGCAAGUGUAAGUGAAAGCAACACGCACUGGCAGGAAGAACAGCAAACGCCGAUGAAGGAAAAGGGUCUUUGCAGUGAUGGGCGUUACCAGAGAGGGCGAUGGCCAGAGGACACAAAUGGGACGGGAAGGCAGCACGUUGGGGGGGGGGGGGGGGACGCGACACGGCUCGGGCCCGCCAGUGCCCCAACGGGGUCCUAGUAUUAUUAUUUUUCCUCCGCUUUAAACUGGAAAAUGGCCCACUUCCCACUGGCGAAAACUCAGGAAAUUUGGCAGGACGACCGGGCCUGGUGAAAAAUUCGAUAUUCUGAAGUCGCCCAAACAAUAAAAUACAAAAUGGCUCCAAAGCGCCCCCUAAGGUGAAAAUUCACACUAUUGACUGUCACGCCUGUACGCUUUGUCAUAUUGACACAAAAAUUGACACACACAUGUAUCUCAAUAAGAUCUACAAAAAAGUCAGUGCGGGCGUAUCUGUCAAAUGUACGGUUAAAGGGUUAUUUCCGCAUUUUUUGCAGAUCCGCACACAUUGGAAUUUCGCUAACUCCUCCGAAGGCUUUCGGUCCACCGGCACCACAUUUGCUCAGGCCAAUCUACACUCCAUGGCCAUUCAAAGUUGUACAAAUCAUGAUGCUGCACCCCAUGGUUUAGGUUCUAGGGGGCGCCAAAAAUAACCCUAAAAUCCACAUUCUUAAAAGUUUUAUAACUUUUUAUUUUUGCCCUCACUGGCCUCCAAGUUUUCUAGGAUGAUGCAAUGUCCAGCCAUCAACACAUUUGUGAAGGAAUUUUUACUCCCCAAAAGAGCGCCCCCCCCUGGCAGGACAAAAAAGUCCAUUUUUUCUUGUCCCCUAAGGUGAAAAUACACAUUGUUGAAUGCCACGCCUGUACGCUUUGUCAUAUUGACACAAAAUUUGACAAUCACGUGUAUCUCAAUAAGAUCUACGAAAAAGUCAAUGCGCGCGUAUCUGUAAAAUGUACGGUUAAAGGGCUAUUUCGCAUUUUUUGCCGAUUCGCACACAUUGGAAUGUGGCUAACUCCUCCUAAGGUUUUCGUCCCACUGACACCAAAUUUGCUCAGGCCAAUCUACACCCCAUGGCCAUUCAAAGUUGUAAAAAUCAUGACGCUGCACCCCAUGGUCUACGUUCUAGGGGGCGCCAAAGAGGACCCAAAUAUCCACAUUUUUAAAGUCUUAUAACUUUUUAUUUUUGUCCUCACUGGCCUCCAAGUUUUCUAGGAUGAUGCAAUGUCCAGCCAUCAACACAUUUGUGAAGGAAUUUUUUCUCCCCAAAAGAGCGCCCCCCAUGGCAGGAGAAAAAGUCAAGUUUUUCCUGCCCAUCGCUCAAUGGCUCAAACGCAUCGCUCUCUCGGCAAAACCGAAAGGAGGAGCAACUUGCCAUUUGGAUAUAUACUAGCUGUGUUUGUGCCCUCACUCAUGGUCCAGACUUUUUUCAAAAAGGACAUGGAGUUUGUCUGCAGCGAGCGUUUUGGUAGAAACUGCGCCUCCCAUUCAUUAUAAUGGUAAAUGACCACAGACAAGUGCGCACACCAUCUUUGGACCUUGAGUGUGACGCGAUCGGGAGGGGUAGGCGGUCGCGCUGGGGGCGGCGUGACACGGCUCGGGCCCGCCAGUGCCCCACCGGGGCCCUAGUUUCUUUUUCCUCCCCUUUGAACUGGAAAAUGGCCCACUUCCCACUGGCGAAAACUCAUGAAAUUUGGCAGGACGACCGGGCCUGGUAAAAAAAUUGAUAUUCCGAAGUCGCCCAAACAAAAAAAUGCAAAAUGGCUCCAUAGCGCCCCCUAAGGUGAAAAUUCACACUAUUGACUGUCACGCCUGUACCCUUUGUCAAAAUAACACAAAAAUUGACACACACAUGUAUCUCAAUAAGAUCUACAAAAAAGUCAGUACGGGCGUAUCUGUCAAAUGUACGGUUAAAGGGUUAUUUCGCAUUUUUUGCCGAUCCGCACACAUUGGAAUUUCGCUAACUCCUCCGAAGGCUUUCGUUCCACCGGCACCACAUUUGCUCAGGCCAAUCUACACCCCAUGGCCAUUAAAAGUUAUUCAAAUCAUGACGCUGCACCCCACGGUUUACGUUCUAGGGGGCGCCAAAGAUGACCCAAAUAUCCACAUUCUUAAAAGAAUCCACAUCCCCCCCCCCAUCCCCCAUCCCCCAUCCCCCAUGGCAGGAGAAACAGUCAAGUUUUUCCUGCCCAUCACUCACUGGCAGCUGCUAAGCAGCUGCGAGAGCCCUGUUGUUCCUGAUGAGUUUUUCUUUGUUUCUUUCUUUCUUCUUUAGGGCCCGAGCGUAGCUGCUAAGCAGCUGCGAGGCCCUAUUAUUCCUGUAGUGGUUUUUCUUUGUUAGGGCCCGAGCGUAGCUGCUAAGCAGCUGCGAGAGCCCUAUUAUUCCCCAAGUGGUUUUUCUUUGUUUCUUCUUUCUUUCUUUCUUAUUUUUCCUCCCCUUUGAACUGGAAAAUGGCCCACUUCCCACUGGCGAAAACUCAUGAAAUUUGGCAGGAUGACCGGGCCUGGUGAAAAAUUUGAUAUUCCGAAGUCGCCCAAACAAGAAAAUGCAAAAUGGCUCCAUAGCGCCCCCUAAGGUGAAAAUUCACACUAUUGACUGUCACGCCUUUACGCUUUGUCAAAAUGACACAAAAAUUGACACACACGUGUAUCUCAAUAAGAUCUACAAAAAAGUCAGUGCGGGCAUAUCUGUCAAAUGUACGGUUAAAGGGUUAUUCCGCAUUUUUUGCCGAUCCGCACACAUUGGAAUUUCGCUAACUCCUCCGAAGGCUUUCGUUCCACCGGCACCACAUUUGCUCAGGCCAAUCUACACCCCAUGGCCAUUAAAAGUUAUUCAAAUCAUGACGCUGCACCCCACGGUUUAGGUUCUAGGGGGCGCCAAAGAUAACCCUAAAAUCCACAUAUUUAAAAGUCUUAUAACUUUUUAUUUUUGUCCUCACUGGCCUCCAAGUUUUCUAGGAUGAUGCAAUGUCCAGCCAUCAACACAUUUGUGAAGGAAUUUUUACUCCCCAAAAGAGCGCCCCCCCAUGGAAGGAGAAAAAAGUCCAUUUUUUCUUGUCCCGUAAGGUGAAAAUUCACAUUGUUGAGUGUGACACCUGUACGCUUUGUCAUAUUGACACAAAAUUUGACAAUCACGUGUAUCUCAAUAAGAUCUACGAAAAAGUCAAUGGGUGCAUAUCUGUCAAAUGUACGGUUAGAGGGCUAUUUUGCAUUUUUUGCCGAUUCGCACACAUUGGAAUGUGGCUAACUCCACCUAAGGCUUUCGUCCCACUGAAACCAAAUUUGCUCAGGCCAAUCUACACGCCAUGGCCAUUCAAAGUUGUAAAAAUCAGGACGCUGCACCCCACGGUUUACGUUCUAGGGGGCGCCAAAGAUGACCAAAAAAUCCACAUUCUUAAAAGAAUCCACAUUCUCCCCCCCCAUGGCACGAGAAAAAGUCAAGUUUUUCCUGCCCAUCGCUCAAUGGCUCAAUCGCAUCACUCUCCAGGCAACACCGUAAGGAGGAGCAACCUGCCAUUUGGAUAUAUCCCAGCUGUGUUUGUGCCCUCACUCAUGGUCCAGACUUUUUUCAAAUAGGACAUGAAGUUUGUCUGCAGCGAGUGUUUUGGUAGAAACUGCGCCUCCCAUUCAUUAUAAUGGGAAAUGACCACAGACAAGUGCGCACACCAUCUUUGGACCUUGAGUGUGACGCGAUCGGGAGGGGGAGGCGGUCACGCUGGGGGCGGCACGACGCGGCUCGGGCCCGACAGUGCCCCAACGGGGCCCUAGUCUUUGUUAGGGCCCGAGCGUAGCUGCUAAGCAGCUGCGAGAGCCCUAUUAUUCCUGAUGGAUUCUUCUUUCUUCUUUAGGGCCCGAGCGUAGCUGCUAAGCAGCUGCGAGAGCCCUAUUAUUCCUGAUGGAUUCUUCUUUCUUUAGGGCCCGAGCGUAGCUGCUAAGCAGCUGCGAGAGCCCUCUUGUUCCUGCAUGUUUCCUUCUUUCGUUAUUAUUUUUCCUCCGCUUCAAACUGGAAAAUGCCCCACUUCCCACUGGCGAAAACUCAGGACAUUUGGCAGGACGACCGGGCCUGGUGAAAAAUUCGAUAUUCUGAAGUCGCCCAAACAAUAAAAUGCAAAAUGGCUCCAUAGCGCCCCCUAAGGUGAAAAUUCACAUGACGGCUGUACGCUUUGUCAUAUUGACACAAAAAUUGACACACACAUGUAUCUCAAUAAGAUCUACAAAAAAGUCAGUGCGGGCGUAUCUGUCAAAUGUACGGUUAAUGGGUUAUUUUGCAUUUUUUGCAGAUCUGCACACAUUGGAAUUUCGCUAACUCCUCCGAAGGCUUUCGUUUGACCGGCACCACAUUUGCGCAGGCCAAUCUACCCCCCAUGGCCAUUAAAAGUUGUACAAAUCAUGACGCUGCACCCCACGGUUUACGUUCUAGGGGGCGCCAAAGAUAACCCAAAAAUCCACAUUCUUAAAAGUCUUAUAACUUUUUACUUUUGUCCUCACUGGCCUCCAAGUUUUCUAGGAUGAUGCAAUGUCCAGCCAUCAACACAUUUGUGAAGGAAUUUUUACUCGCCAAAAGAGCGCCCCCCAUGGCAGGAGAAAAAAGUCAAUUUUUUCUUGUCCCCUAAGGCGAAUAUACACAUUGUUGAGUGUCACGCCUGUACGCUUUGUCAUAUUGACACAAAAAUUAACACACACAUGUAUCUCAAUAAGAUCUACGAAAAAGUCAAUGUGCGCGUAUCUGUAAAAUGUACAGUUAAAGGGCUAUUUCGCAUUUUUUGCCGAUUCGCACACAUUGGAAUGUGGCUAACUCCUCCUAAAGCUUUCGUCCCAUCGGCACCAAAUUUGCUCAGGCCAAUCUACACCCCAUGGCCAUUCAAAGUUGUACAAAUCAUGACGCUGCAUCCCACGGUUUACGUUCUAGGGGGCGCCAAAGAUGACCCAAAUAUCCACAUUUUUAAAAGUCUUAUAACUUUAUUUUUGUCCUCACUGGCCUCCAAGUUUUCUAGGAUGAUGCAAUGUCCAGCCAUCAACACAUUUGUGAAGGAAUUUUUACUCCCCAAAAGAGCGCCCCCCCAUGGCAGGAGAAAAAAGUCAAUUUUUUCUUGUCCCGUAAGGUGAAAAUUCACAUUGUUGAGUGUGACACCUGUACGCUUUGUCAUAUUGACACAAAAUUUGACAAUCACGUGUAUCUCAAUAAGAUCUACGAAAAAGUCAAUGGGUGCGUAUCUGUCAAAUGUACGGUUAGAGGGCUAUUUUGCAUUUUUUGCCGAUUCGCAUACAUUGGAAUGUGGCUAACUCCUCCUAAGGCUUUCGUUCCACCGGCACCACAUUUGCUCAGGCCAAUCUACACCCCAUGGCCAUUCAAAGUUGUAAAGCUCAGGACGCUGCACCCCACGGUUUAUGUUCUAGGGGGCGCCAAAGAUGACCAAAAAAUCCACAUUCUUAAAAGAAUCCACAUUCUCCCCCCCCAUGGCACGAGAAAAAGUCAAGUUUUUCCUGCCCAUCGCUCAAUGGCUCAAUCGCAUCGCUCUCCAGGCAACACCGUAAGGAGGAGCAACCUGCCAUUUUGAUAUAUUCCAGCUGUGUUUGUGCCCUCACUCAUGGUCCAGACUUUUUUCAAAAAGGACAUGAAGUUUGUCUGCAGCGAGUGUUUUGGUAGAAACUGCGCCUCCCAUUCAUUAUAAUGGGAAAUGACCACAGACAAGUGCGCACACCAUCUUUGGACCUUGAGUGUGACGCGAUCGGGAGGGGGAGGCGGUCACGCUGGGGGCGGCACGACGCGGCUCGGGCCCGACAGUGCCCCACCGGGGCCCUAGUCUUCUUCUUCUUCUUCUUAUUAGGGCCCGAGCGUAGCUGCUAAGCAGCUGCGAGAGCCCUCUUGUUCCUGAUGGAUUCUUCUUUUGUUAUUAUUAUUAUUAGGGCCCGAGCGUAGCUGCUAAGCAGCUGCGAGAGCCCUCUUGUUCCUGAUGGAUUCUUCUUUUGUUAUUAUUAUUAUUACUUUUCCUCCGCUUUAAACUGGAAAAUGGCCCACUUCCCACUGGCGAAAACUCAGGAAAUUUGGCAGGACGACCGGGCCUGGUGAAAAAUUCGAUAUUCUGAAGUCGCCCAAACAAUAAAAUACAAAAUGGCUCCAUAGCGCCCCCUAAGGUGAAAAUUCACACUAUUGACUGUCACGCCUGUACGCUUUGUCAUAUUGACACAAAAAUUGACACACACAUGUAUCUCAAUAAGAUCUACAAAAAAGUCAGUGCGGGCGUAUCUGUCAAAUGUACGGUUAAAGGGUUAUUUCGCAUUUUUUGCAGAUCCGCACACAUUGGAAUUUCGCUAACUCCUCCGAAGGCUUUCGGUCCACCGGCACCACAUUUGCUCAGGCCAAUCUACACUCCAUGGCCAUUCAAAGUUGUACAAAUCAUGAUGCUGCACCCCAUGGUUUAGGUUCUAGGGGGCGCCAAAAAUAACCCUAAAAUCCACAUUCUUAAAAGUUUUAUAACUUUUUAUUUUUGCCCUCACUGGCCUCCAAGUUUUCUAGGAUGAUGCAAUGUCCAGCCAUCAACACAUUUGUGAAGGAAUUUUUACUCCCCAAAAGAGCGCCCCCCCCCCCAUGGCAGGACAAAAAAGUCAAUUUUUUCUUGUCCCCUAAGGUGAAAAUACACAUUGUUGAAUGCCACGCCUGUACGCUUUGUCAUAUUGACACAAAAUUUGACAAUCACGUGUAUCUCAAUAAGAUCUACAAAAAAGUCAACGCGCGCGUAUCUGUAAAAUGUACGGUUAAAGGGCUAUUUCGCAUUUUUUGCCGAUUCGCACACAUUGGAAUGUGGCUAACUCCUCCUAAGGUUUUCGUCCCACUGACACCAAAUUUGCUCAGGCCAAUCUACACCCCAUGGCCAUUCAAAGUUGUAAAAAUCAUGACGCUGCACCCCAUGGUCUACGUUCUAGGGGGCGCCAAAGAGGACCCAAAUAUCCACAUUUUUAAAGUCUUAUAACUUUUUAUUUUUGUCCUCACUGGCCUCCAAGUUUUCUAGGAUGAUGCAAUGUCCAGCCAUCAACACAUUUGUGAAGGAAUUUUUUCUCCCCAAAAGAGCGCCCCCCCAUGGCAGGAGAAAAAGUCAAGUUUUUCCUGCCCAUCGCUCAAUGGCUCAAACGCAUCGCUCUCUCGGCAAAACCGAAAGGAGGAGCAACUUGCCAUUUGGAUAUAUACUAGCUGUGUUUGUGCCCUCACUCAUGGUCCAGACUUUUUUCAAAAAGGACAUGGAGUUUGUCUGCAGCGAGCGUUUUGGUAGAAACUGCGCCUCCCAUUCAUUAUAAUGGUAAAUGACCACAGACAAGUGCGCACACCAUCUUUGGACCUUGAGUGUGACGCGAUCGGGAGGGGUAGGCGGUCGCGCUGGGGGCGGCGUGACACGGCUCGGGCCCGCCAGUGCCCCACCGGGGCCCUAGUUAUUAUUUUUCCUCCGCUUUAAACUGGAAAAUGGCCCACUUCCCACUGGCGAAAACUCAUGAAAUUUGGCAGGACGACCGGGCCUGGUGAAAAAUUCGAUAUUCUGAAGUCGCCCAAACAAGAAAAUGCAAAAUGGCUUAAUAGCGCCCCCAAAGGUGAAAAUUCACACUAUUGACUGUCACGCCUGUACGCUUUGUCAUAUUGACACAAAAAUUGACACACACAUGUAUCUCAAUAAGAUCUACAAAAAAGUCAGUGCGGGCGUAUCUGUCAAAUGUACGGUUAAAGGGUUAUUUCGCAUUUUUUGCCGUUCCGCACACAUUGGAAUUUCGCUAACUCCUCCGAAGGCUUUCGUUCCACCAGCACUACAUUUGCUCAGGCCAAUCUACACCCCAUGGCCAUUGAAAGUUGUACAAAUCAUGACGCUGCACCCCACGGUUUACGUUCUAGGGGGCGCCAAAGAUAACCCACAAAUCCACAUUCUUAAAAAUCUUAUAACUUUUUAUUUUUGUCCUCAUUGGCCUCCAAGUUUUCUAGGAUGAUGCAAUGUCCAGCCAUCAACACAUUUGUGAAGGAAUUUUUACUCCCCAAAACAGCGCCCCCCCCCAUGGCAGGACAAAAAAGGCCAUUUUUUCUUGUCCCCUAAGGUGAAAAUACACAUUGUUCAAUGUCACGCCUAUACGCUUUGUCAUAUUGACACAAAAUUUGACACACACGUGUAUCUCAAUAAGAUCUACGAAAAAGUCAAUGGGCACAUAUCUGUAAAAUGUACAAUUAAAGGGCUAUCUUGCAUUUUUUGCCGAUUCGCACACAUUGGAAUGUGGCUAACUCCUCCUAAGGCUUUCGUUCUACUGACACCAAAUUUGCUCAGGCCAAUCUACACCCCAUGGCCAUUCAAAGUUGUACAAAUCAUGACGCUGCACCCCACGGUUUAGGUUCUAGGGGGCGCCAAAGAUGACCCAAAUAUCCACAUUUCUAAAAGUCUUAUAACUUUUUAUUUUUGUCCUCACUGGCCUCCAAGUUUUCUAGGAUGAUGCAAUGUGCAGCCAUCAACACAUCUGUGAAGGAAUUUUUUCUCCCCAAAAGAGCACCCCCCCCCCCCCCCCCCAUGGCAGGAGAAAAAGUCAAGUUUUUCCAGCCCAUCGCUUAAUGGCUCAAACGCAUUUCUCUCCCGCUAAAACCAAAAGGAGGAGCAACUUACCAUUUGGAUAUGUCCUAGCUGUGUUUUUGCCCUCACUCAUGGUCCAGAGUUUUUUCAAAUAGGACAUGUAGUUUGUCUGCAGCGAGCGUUUUGGUAGAAACUGUGCCUCCCAUUCAUUAUAAUGGGAAAUGACCAAAGACAGGUGCGCACACCAUCUUUGGACCUUGACUUUGACGUCACAGUUUGAGAUACAAAUGUUAUUUGACCUCUGACCUUUGGUGGACACCCUAACCUUUCAACCCGCGAAAACGGCGUUUCAAUAGCUCUUACGGCUUUCCUACAAAUACACUUUGUUCAGCUACUCCUACUGUCCUUUAAGCUCUGCUUCUCAGAUCAUCAAAGAGUGUGCACGUGUGUAAUGAGCGCAUAUUGAAUGUUAAUUAUGUUAAAUAUGUUAAUUAUUAGAAGAAAAAACAACAACAGUCCUUUUGGACAAAAUUUCCUUUUAUUACAGAAUUAGAAUAAUGGAAGCAUAGUCCAAGGAAACCAUUCAAGUGAUGUCAUACCUCAUAAUUUAUUGAGAUGUUGGCUAGUCUGGGCAUUUCUUCAUUCAUCAGGUUUCCUGCAUGCAUACUAACAGAGCACAUCAGUAGCAGUGAGUGAUAAGUAUGAGUGUGUCAUUGUGUAAGAAAGAAAGUGGUUUACUUACACAUCCAUAGAAAAUAGGUGGUUGAGCACAGCACGCAAACAAAGCUUUGCCACAACGGUUGAACUUCCCAAGUAGCUGAUACCAAGGUCACGCAAUCAUGGUGAGCAAAGGUCAAACCAGGCCAGGCACUCACGAGGCUGGCUGUGGCAAGUGUAAGUGAAAGCAACACGCAAUGGCAGGAAGAACAGCAAACACCGAUGAAGGAAAAGGGUCUUUGCAGUGAUGGGCGUCACCAGAGAGGGCGAUGGCCAGAGGGCACGAAUGGGACGGGGAGGCGGUCGCGCUGGGGGCGGCGCGAUGCGGCUCGGGCCCGCCAGUGCCCCAACGGGGCCCUAGUUAUUUUUCUGCCCCUUUGAACUGGAAAAUGGCCCACUUCCCACUGGUGAAAACUCAUGAAAUUUGGCAGGACGACCGGGCCUGGUGAAAAAUUCGAUAUUCUGAAGUCAACCAAACAAUUAAAUGCAAAAUGGCUCCAUAGCGCCCCCUAAGGUGAAAAAUUCACAUGAUUGAGUGUCACGCCUGUACGCUUUGUCAAAAUGACACAAAAUUUGACACACACGUGUAUCUCAAUAAGAUCUACAAAAAAGUCAGUGCGGGCGUAUCUGUCAAAUGUACGGUUAAAGGGUUAUUUCGCAUUUUUUGCCGAUCCGCACACAUUGGAAUUUCGCUAACUCCUCCUAAAUCUUUUGUCCCAUCGGCUUCAAAUUUGCUCAGGUCAAUCUACACCCCAUGGCCAUUCAAAGUUGUACAAAUCAUGACGCUGCACCCCACAGUUUACGUUCUAGGGGGCGCCAAAGAGGACCCAAAUAUCCACAUUUUUAAAAGUCUUAUAACUUUUUAUUUUUGUCCUCACUGGCCUCCAAGUUUUCUAGGAUGAUGCAAUGUCCAGCCAUCAACACAUUUGUGAAGGAAUUUUUUCUCCCCAAAAGAGCGCCCCCCCAUGGCAGGAGAAAAAGUCAAGUUUUUCCUGCCCAUCGCUCAAUGGCUCAAACGCAUCGCUCUCUCUGCAAAACCGAAAGGAGGAGCAACUUGCCAUUUGGAUAUAUACUAGCUGUGUUUGUGCCCUCACUCAUGGUCCAGACUUUUUUCAAAUAGGACAUGUAGUUUGUCUGCAGCGAGCGUUUUGGUAGAAACUGCGCCUCCCAUUCAUUAUAAUGGGAAAUGACCACAGACAAGUGCGCACACCAUCUUUGGACCUUGAGUGUGACGCGAUCGGGAGGGGGAGGCGGUCGCGCUGGGGGCGGCGCGACGCGGCUCGGGCCCGACAGUGCCCCACCGGGGCCCUAGUUAGGGCCCGAGCGUAGCUGCUAAGCAGCUGCGAGAGCCCUCUUGUUCCUGAUGGAUUCUUCUUUAGGGCCCGAGCGUAGCUGCUAAGCAGCUGCGAGAGCCCUCUUGUUCCUGCAUGUUUCCUUCUUUUGUUAUUAUUAGGGCCCGAGCCAGCUGCAGAGCAGCCGGGCGUAGGCCCUAUUAUUCCCCAAGUGGUUUUUCUUUGUUUCUUUGUUUAGGGCCCGAGCGUAGCUGCUAAGCAGCUGCGAGAGCCCUAUUAUUCCCCAAGUGGUUUUUCUUUGUUUCUUUCUUUCUUUAGGGCCCGAGCGUAGCUGCUAAGCAGCUGCGAGAGCCCUAUUAUUCCCCAAGUGGUUUUUCUUUGUUUCUUUCUUUCUUCUUUUUCCUCCCCUUUGAACUGGAAAAUGGCCCACUUCCCACUGGCGAAAACUCAUGAAAUUUGGCAGGAUGAUCGGGCCUGGUGAAAAAUUUGAUAUUCCGAAGUCGCCCAAACAAGAAAAUGCAAAAUGGCUCCAUAGCGCCCCCUAAGGUGAAAAUUCACACUAUUGACUGUCACGCCUUUACGCUUUGUCAUAUUGACACAAAAAUUGACACACACAUGUAUCUCAAUAAGAUCUACAAAAAAGUCAGUGCGGGCGUAUCUGUCAAAUGUACGGUUAAAGGGUUAUUCCGCAUUUUUUUCCGAUCCACACACAUUGGAAUUUCGCUAACUCCUCCGAAGGCUUUCGUUCCACCGGCACCACAUUUGCUCAGGCCAAUCUACACCCCAUGGCCAUUAAAAGUUAUUCAAAUCAUGACGCUGCACCCCACGGUUUAGGUUCUAGGGGGCGCCAAAGAUAACCCUAAAAUCCACAUAUUUAAAAGUCUUAUAACUUUUUAUUUUUGACCUCACUGGCCUCCAAGUUUUCUAGGAUGAUGCAAUGUCCAGCCAUCAACACAUUUGUGAAGGAAUUUUUAAUCCCCAAAAGAGCGCCCCCCCAUGGCAGGAGAAAAAAGUCCAUUUUUUCUUGUCCCCUAAGGUGAAAAUACACAUUGUUGAGUGUCACGCCUGUAUGCUUUGGCAAAAUGACACAAAAAUUGACACACACAUGUAUCUCAAUAAGAUCUACGAAAAAGUCAAUGCGCGCAUAUCUGUCAAAUGUACGGUUAAAGGGUUAUUCCGCAUUUUUUGCUGAUCCGCACACAUUGGAAUUUCGCUAACUCCUCCGAAGGCUGGCGUUCCACCGGCACCACAUUUGCUCAGGCCAAUCUACACCCCAUGGCCAUUCAAAGUUAUUCAAAUCAUGACGCUGCACCCCACGGUUUAGGUUCUAGGGGGCGCCAAAGAUAACCCUAAAAUCCACAUAUUUCAAAGUCUUAUAACUUUUUAUUUUUGUCCUCACUGGCCUCCAAGUUUUCUAGGAUGAUGCAAUGUCCAGCCAUCAACACAUUUGUGAAGGAAUUUUUACUCCCCAAAAGAGCGCCCCCCCAUGGCAGGAGAAAAAAGUCCAUUUUUUCUUGUCCCCUAAGGUGAAAAUACACAUUGUUGAGUGUCACGCCUAUACGCUUUGUCAAAAUGACACAAAAAUUGACACACACAUGUAACUCAAUAAGAUCUACGAAAAAGUCAAUGCGCGCGUAUCUGUCAAAUGUACGGUUAAAGGGUUAUUCCGCAUUUUUUGCCGAUCCGCACACAUUGGAAUGUGGCUAACUCCUCCGAAGGCUUUCGUUCCACCGGCACCACAUUUGCUCAGGCCAAUCUACACCCCAUGGCCAUUAAAAGUUAUUCAAAUCAUGACGCUGCACCCCACGGUUUAGGUUCUAGGGGGCGCCAAAGAUAACCCUAAAAUCCACAUAUUUAAAAGUCUUAUAACUUUUUAUUUUUGUCCUCACUGGCCUCCAAGUUUUCUAGGAUGAUGCAAUGUCCAGCCAUCAACACAUUUGUGAAGGAAUUUUUACUCCCCAAAAGAGCGCCCCCCCAUGGCAGGAGAAAAAAGUCCAUUUUUUCUUGUCCCCUAAGGUCAAAAUUCACAUUGUUGAGUGUGACACCUGUACGCUUUGUCAUAUUGACACAAAAUUUGACAAUCACGUGCCUUGCCUGGUAUCAUUUUUUUCAAAUUCACACACAAAACAUAAAAUCCGAGUGGAAAAAAGUAACAUUUUUACUGUGAAAACCACAAAUAUGUGUGAUGAACUGUUUUUAAAACUUAAACUUCAAAUAAAAAUUGUAAACUUCAAAACAUAUGCAAAUUUUUAACAAAGAACAUAGUGAUUUACCUCUAUUUACAUCAAAAUGCAGGCAAUGGCCCAGGCGUUCUUUGUAAAAUUAUUUACAAAACACUGUAUAGUCUCACAAAUGUCACUUUUUAUUUAUGCCACUACAAAAAAACAUGAUGUAAAUGAUGCAUGAUGUAAAACAUGAUGUAAAAAACUUGCGUAGAUCCUCCUCUAUGUCAGUCCAUGUGUAAUUUUUCCAUAAUUCUUUGUUUUUUGCAGCAUUUUUGUUAGUGUAACUGCAGAUUGUGCUGACAGUGUCUAUGGCAAAAAAAAAAAAAAACUGAAAAUGCCUCAACAUGAACUCCUGGUGGUCUCUGAGGGUGAAACCUGCUAACUGCUGCAGCUCUCUCAGCUCUAGUCUCCCAUGCAGAGCUCGGAGCGCAUGUGUGGCUCUGCACCCUUAGCAGCGUUGCUAACUCCUCAGUAAGGAAAGCCUGCUUCAUGUCAGAGUCUCUAAACUCCAGAGGAAGUCGAUAAAAUUCCCUUUCUUUCUAAAAAAAAGUCGUUAGGGGGUCUGAAAAGUCAUUGAAUCUAACAACAAAGUCGCUAGGUUUGCAACUACGUUUCCCAGACUGCAUCCCUGCUGAGAGUUCCUCCCUCCCUUCUCAUAUUGCAGGAAGAACGUAAGCGCCCGCCCCUUGUCAAUCAGUCACCAUAUAAUUUUGGAUUGGUUGUUGUGGUGAAGUUUUCCACCAAUAGGAGAGAUGUUGUGGUGUGUUUUUUUUUUCUUUUGGCAUGCCUUUUCCGCCUGUAAGAGCUGUCGCUAAUGUCUGCAUGCUAUGUUUUCCUGUCUCAUACAGCGUGAUCGAGCGCCGAACGUGAUCAAAAUAAGCAGAAAAAAAGUAUCGCGGACAUAAUUUAUCAUAACUCUGGUUUUAUUUGGCCUAUCAACACAAUUUAAAAACUGGUAUAUAGUUUGAGGUCCUCACUUUUGAGAUAAGUUGAAACGGAGGGUGAACGAGGCUCCGUCUUGCAGCUACAUCCGGUUAAAUAUGUCAUGUGACUUGAACGCUGGGGAGCGUCAAUCGACUGCAGAGCCAGCAGACAAAGUAGUUAUGCCACUGAGAGGCACACAUUUGUCAUAUGCUAUAAUCCUAACAUAUUUUAAUGCUUUUUCUAUUUAAACCUAAUGGAUCUAAGGUUUGACCUUCAAAAUUUAGGAAGAAUAUUUUUUGCAGUAAUGACCCCUUAAACAACCAGAGGUCCUUUCCUAAAGUUUAUGGAAAUUUUAGUGAAGGCCUUGGUUUCUUUCCUUGCAAAAUGUAUAGAAAUAAUAAAGCUAAAUACCAUAAAAUGGUCUUGGCGUAUUAGCAGUGAUAUAAAAUAGUGGUUUGAAUAUGAAUGAACAACAAAAAAAAACAUCAACAGAGCCUUUUUGAGUUGGGAUUCUUUCAUUAUCACACAAAAACAGACAUAGACAGACAUCUAAAGGGUAAGGGAAUGAUCAGCCCUCCUAACUCUCAGAUGAAUCUUCAAAAUUCACCGCAGAAAUAUGCUUAUUAUUCUUCUCAGAGUACUGCAAAAUAUAUACACACACACAGACACAGACACACACACACACACACACACACACAGACAGACACACUCAGAGUCUGUUUUUUAGCACCUGCAAAAACAUGCUAUUUACAUAUUUGACAAGAAUGCAGAGGCUCCUUUUGCCCCUGAAAAAAAUCAAAUUUCAAACACAACUUGACUGCUCAUUUCUCCAAAAGACAACCAUGAAGCUCCAUCCAAACCUGAAGCAGGCAGUUGGUGCAUGUGUACAGUAACCUGAGGGGAGUGAGGUGACUGCUUCUGAGGAGAACAUGAGCAGUGAAGAUUCACCUUGGAGCUAGAACAGGGACGUGCACAUGAUUAUACAGGGGCAGGGGCUCAAGUUUUUUCCAGUCAUUUAUACAAUAUGGAAAUUAAUGUGAAAUUAAAAAACAAAGUAUUAAUAGAAAGGUAAUGACUGUCCUGUGUAGAUGACAGUGAUAUCCAAUAGGCUAGGCACUCACGAGGCUGGCUGUGGCAAGUGUAAGUGAAAGCAACACGCACUGGCAGGAAGAACAGCAAACGCCGAUGAAGGAAAAGGGUCUUUGCAGUGAUGGGCGUUACCAGAGAGGGCGAUGGCCAGAGGACACGAAUGGGACGGGGAGGCAGCGCGUUGGGGGGAGGCAGCGCAUUGGGGGGGGGGCGGCGCGACACGGCUCGGGCCCGCCAGUGCCCCAACGGGGCCCUAGUUAGGGCCCGAGCGUAGCUGCUAAGCAGCUGCGAGAGCCCUCUUGUUCCUGUAGUUUCCUUCUUUUGUUAUUAUUAGGGCCCGAGCGUAGCUGCUAAGCAGCUGCGAGAGCCCUAUUAUUCCCCAAGGGGUUUUUCUUUGUUUCUUUUUUCUUUUUCCUCCCCUUUGAACUGGAAAAUGGCCCACUUCCCACUGGCGAAAACUCAUGAAAUUUGGCAGGACGACCGGGCCUGGUGAAAAAUUUGAUAUUCCGAAGUCGCCCAAACAAGAAAAUGCAAAAUGGCUCCAUAGCGCCCCCUAAGGUGAUAAAUUCACCUGACGCCUGUACGCUUUGUCAAAAUGACACAAAAAUUGACACACACAUGUAUCUCAAUAAGAUCUACAAAAAAGUCAGUGCGGGCGUAUCUGUCAAAUGUACGGUUAAAGGGUUAUUGCGCAUUUUUUGCCGAUCCGCACACAUUGGAAUUUCGCUAACUCCUCCGAAGGCUUUCGUUCCACCGGCACCACAUUUGCUCAGGCCAAUCUACACCCCAUGGCCAUUAAAAGUUAUUCAAAUCAUGACGCUGCACCCCACGGUUUAGGUUCUAGGGGGCGCCAAAGAUAACACUAAAAUCCACAUAUUUCAAAGUCUUAUAACUUUUUAUUUUUGUCCUCACUGGCCUCCAAGUUUUCUAGGAUGAUGCAAUGUCCAGCCAUCAACACAUUUGUGAAGGAAUUUUUACUCCCCAAAAGAGCGCCCCCCCAUGGCAGGAGAAAAAAGUCCAUUUUUUCUUGUCCCCUAAGGUGAAAAUACACAUUGUUGAGUGUCACGCCUGUACGCUUUGUCAAAAUGACACAAAAAUUGACACACACAUGUAUCUCAAUAAGAUCUACAAAAAAGUCAAUGGGCGCGUAUCUGUCAAAUGUACGGUUAAAGGGUUAUUCCGCAUUUUUUGCCGAUUCGCACACAUUGGAAUUUCGCUAACUCCUCCGAAGGCUUUCGUUCCACCGGCACCACAUUUGCUCAGGCCAAAUUACACCCCAUGGCCAUUAAAAGUUAUUCAAAUCAUGACGCUGCACCCCACGGUUUACGUUCUAGGGGGCGCCAAAGAUAACCCAAAAAUCCAAAUUUUUAAAAGUCUUAUAACUUUUUAUUUUUGUCCUCACUGGCCUCCAAGUUUUCUAGGAUGAUGCAAUGUCCAGCCAUCAACACAUUUGUGAAGGAAUUUUUACUCCCUAAAAGAGCGCCCCCCAUGGCAGGAGAAAAAAGUCCAUUUUUUCUUGUCCCCUAAGGUGAAAAUACACAUUGUUGACUGUCACGCCUGUACGCUUUGGCAAAAUGACACAAAAAUUGACAAUCAUGUGUAUCUCAAUUAGAUCUACGAAAAAGUCAAGAGCGCGUAUCUGUAUAAUGUACGGUAAAAGGGCUAUUUUGCAUUUUUUGCCGAUUCGCACAUAUUGGAAUUUCGCUAACUCCUCCUAAGGCUUUCGUCCCACUGACACCAAAUUUGCUCAGGCCAAUCUACACUCCAUGGCCAUUCAAAGUUGUAAAAAUCAUGACGCGGCACCCCACGGUUUACGUUUUAGGGGGCGCCAAAGAUGACCCAAAUAUACAUUACAGUAGACAAAGUAGUUUUGCCCACUGAGUGGCGCCAAAGGGACUUGUCUGUGGAGUCUGUGAGUCACUAUUGGCCGUUUUUGACUACUUUAGAUUUUACCUUUAUAUUUCCUCUUACAAAAUUUUUACCUUGCCUUGCCUGGUAUCAUUGUUUUCAGCACAACCUCACCUGUGUCAAUUUACAGUUAUUUUAUCAUUUUGACAUACUAUAUUUACACAUUGGACCCAAAUUCACACACAAAACAUAAAAUCCGAGUGGAAAAAAGUAACGUUUUUACUGUGAAAACCACAAAUAUGUGUGAUGAACUGUUUUUAAAACUUAAACUUCAAAUAAAAAUUGUAAACUUCAAAACAUAUGCACAUUUUUAACAAAGAACAUAGUAAUUUACCUCUAUUUACAUCAAAAUGCAGGCAAUGGCCCAGGCGUUCUUUGUAAAAUUAUUUACAAAACACUGUAUAGUCUCACAAAUGUCACUUUUUAUUUAUGCCACUACAAAAAAACAUGAUGUAAAUGAUGCAUGAUGUAAAACAUGAUGUAAAAAACUUGUGUAGAUCCUCCUCUAUGUCAGUCCAUGUGUAAUUUUUCCAUAAUUCUUUGUUUUUUGCAGCAUUUUUGUUAGUGUAACUGCAGAUUGUGCUGACAGUGUCUAUGGCAAAAAAAAAAAAAAAACUGAAAAUGCCUCAACAUGAACCCCUGGUGGUCUCUGAGGGUGAAACCUGCUAACUGCUGCAGCUCUGUCAGCUUCAGUCUCCCAUGCAGAGCUCGGAGCGCAUGUGUGGCUCUGCACCCUUAGCAGCGUUGCUAACUCCUCAGUAAGGAAAGCCUGCUUCAUGUCAGAGUCUCUAAACUCCAGAAGAAGUCGAUAAAAGUCACUUUCUUUCUAAAAAAACGUCGUUAGGGGGUCUGAAAAGUCAUUGAAUCUAACAACAAAGUCGCUAGGUUUGCAACUACGUGUCCCAGACUGCAUCCCUGCUGAGAGUCCCUCCCUCCCUUCUCAUAUUGCAGGAAGAACGUAAGCGCCCGCCCCUUGUCAAUCAGUCACCAUAUAAUUUUGGAUUGGUUGUUGUGGUGAAGUUUUCCACCAAUAGGAGAGAUGUUGUGGUGUGUUUUUUUUUUCCUUUGGCAAGCCUUUUCCGCCUGUAAGAGCUGUCGCUAAUGUCUGCAUGCUAUGUUUUCCUGUCUCAUACAGCGCGAUCGAGCGCCGAACGUGAUCAAAAUAAGCAGAAAACAAGUAUCGCGGACAUAAUUUAUCAUAACUCUGGUUUUAUUUGGCCUAUCAACACAAUUUAAAAACUGGUAUAUAGGUUGAGGUCCUCACUUUUGAGAUAAGUUGAAACGGAGAGUCAACGAGGCUCCGUCUUGCAGCUACAUCCGGUUAAAUAUGUCAUGUGACUUGAACACACACACACACACACACACAGACACACACACACACGCACACACACACACUCAGAGUCUGGUUUUUAGCACCUGCAAAAACAUGCUAUUUACAUAUUUGACAAGAAUGCAGAGGCUCCUUUUGCCCCUGAAAAAAAUCAAAUUUCAAACACAACUUGACUGGUCAUUUCUCCAAAAGACAACCAUGAAGCUCCAUCCAAACCUGAAGCAGGCAGUUGGUGCAUGUGUACAGUAACCUGAGGGGAGUGAGGUGACUGCUUCUGAGGAGAACAUGAGCAGUGAAGAUUCACCUUAGAGCUAGAACAGAGACGUGCACAUGAUUAUACAGGGGCAGGGGCUCAAGUUUUUUCCAGUUGUUUAUACAAUAUGGAAAUUAAUGUGAAAUUAAAAAACAAAGUAUUAAUAGAAAGGUAAUGACUGUCCUGUGUAGGUGACAGUGAUAUCCAAUAGGCUAGGCACUCACGAGGCUGGCUGUGGCAAGUGUAAGUGAAAGCAACACGCACUGGCAGGAAGAACAGCAAACGCCGAUGAAGGAAAAGGGUCUUUGCAGUGAUGGGCGUUACCAGAGAGGGCGAUGGCCAGAGGACACAAAUGGGACGGGGAGGCAGCGCGUUGGGGGGGGGACGCGACACAGCUCGGGCCCGCCAGUGCCCCAACGGGGUCCUAGUUAUUAUUAUUAUUAUUUUUCCUCCCCUUUGAACUGGAAAAUGGCCCACUUCCCACUGGCGAAAACUCAUGAAAUUUGGCAGGACGACCGGGCCUGGUGAAAAAUUUGAUAUUCCGAAGUCGCCCAAACAAGAAAAUGCAAAAUGGCUCCAUAGCGCCCCCUAAGGUGAAAAUUCACACUAUUCACUGUCACGCCGGUACGCUUUGUCAAAAUGACACAAAAAUUGACACACACAUGUAUCUCAAUAAGAUCUACAAAAAAGUCAGUGCGGGCGUAUCUGUCAAAUGUACGGUUAAAGGGUUAUUUCGCAUUUUUUGCCGAUCCGCACACAUUGGAAUUUCGCUAACUCCUCCGAAGGCUUUCUUUCCACCGGCACCACAUUUGCUCAGGCCAAUCUACACCCCAUGGCCAUUAAAAGUUAUUCAAAUCAUGACGCUGCACCCCACGGUUUAGGUUCUAGGGGGCGCCAAAGAUAACCCUAAAAUCCACAUAUUUAAAAGUCUUAUAACUUUUUAUUUUUGCCCUCACUGGCCUCCAAGUUUUCUCGGAUGAUGCAAUGUCCAGCCAUCAACACAUUUGUGAAGGAAUUUUUACUCCCCAAAAGAGCGCCCCCCAUGGCCGGAGAAAAAAGUCAAUUUUUUCUUGUCCCCUAAGGUGAAAAUACACAUUGUUGAGUGUCACGCCUGUACGCUUUGUCAUAUUGACACAAAAUUUGACACACACAUGUAUCUCAAUAAGAUCUACGAAAAAGUCAAUGCGCGCGUAUCUGUCAAAUGUACGGUUAAAGGGUUAUUCCGCAUUUUUUGCUGAUCCGCACACAUUGGAAUUUCGCUAACUCCUCCUAAGGCUGGCGUUCCACCGGCACCACAUUUGCUCAGGCCAAUCUACACCCCAUGGCCAUUAAAAGUUAUUCAAAUCAUGAUGCUGCACCCCACGGUUUAGGUUCUAGGGGGCGCCAAAGAUAACCCUAAAAUCCACAUAUUUCAAAGUCUUAUAACUUUUUAUUUUUGUCCUCACUGGCCUCCAAGUUUUCUAGGAUGAUGCAAUGUCCAGCCAUCAACACAUUUGUGAAGGAAUUUUUACUCCCCAAAAGAGCGCCCCCCCCAUGGCAGGAGAAAAAAGUCAAUUUUUUCUUGUCCCGUAAGGUGAAAAUUCACAUUGUUGAGUGUGACACCUGUACGCUUUGUCAUAUUGACACAAAAUUUGACAAUCACGUGUAUCUCAAUAAGAUCUACGAAAAAGUCAAUGGGUGCGUAUCUGUCAAAUGUAUGGUUAGAGGGCUAUUUUGCAUUUUUUGCCGAUUCGCACACAUUGGAAUGUGGCUAACUCCUCCUAAGGCUUUCGUCCCACUGAAACCAAAUUUGCUCAGGCCAAUCUAUACCCCAUGGCCAUUCAAAGUUGUAAAAAUCAUGACGCUGCACCCCACGGUUUACGUUCUAGGGGGCGCCAAAGAUGACCAAAAAAUCCACAUUCUUAAAAGAAUCCACAUUCUCCCCCCCCAUGGCAGGAGAAAAAGUCAAGUUUUUCCUGCCCAUCGCUCAAUGGCUCAAUCGCAUCGCUCUCCAGGCAACACCGUAACGAGGAGCAACCUGCCAUUUGGAUAUAUCCCAGCUGUGUUUGUGCCCUCACUCAUGGUCCAGACUUUUUUCAAAUAGGACAUGAAGUUUGUCUGCAGCGAGUGUUUUGGUAGAAACUGCGCCUCCCAUUCAUUAUAAUGGGAAAUGACCACAGACAAGUGCGCACACCAUCUUUGGACCUUGAGUGUGACGCGAUCGGGAGGGGGAGGCGGUCGCGCUGGGGGCGGCGCAACGCGGCUCGGGCCCGACAGUGCCCCACCGGGGUCCUAGUUAGGGCCCGAGCCAGCUGCAGAGCAGCCAGGCGUAGGCCCUAUUAUUCCCCAAGUGGUUUUUUAGGGCCCGAGCCAGCUGCAGAGCAGCCGGGCGUAGGCCCUGUUAUUCCUGUAGGGGUUUUUCUUUGUUUCUUUCUUUCUUCUUUUUCCUCCCCUUUGAACUGGAAAAUGGCCCACUUCCCACUGGCGAAAACUCAGGAAAUUUGGCAGGACGACCGGGCCUGGUGAAAAAUUUGAUAUUCCGAAGUCGCCCAAACAAGAAAAUGCAAAAUGGCUCCAUAGCGCCCCCUAAGGUGAAAAUUCACACUAUUGACUGUCACGCCUGUACGCUUUGUCAAAAUGACACAAAAAUUGACACACACAUGUAUCUCAAUAAGAUCUACAAAAAAGUCAGUGCGGGCGUAUCUGUCAAAUGUACGGUUAAAGGGUUAUUUCGCAUUUUUUGCCGAUCCGCACACAUUGGAAUUUCGCUAACUCCUCCGAAGGCUUUCGUUCCACCGGCACCACAUUUGCUCAGGCCAAUCUACACCCCAUGGCCAUUAAAAGUUAUUCAAAUCAUGACGCUGCACCCCACGGUUUAGGUUCUAGGGGGCGCCAAAGAUAACCCUAAAAUCCACAUUUUUAAAAGUCUUAUAACUUUUUAUUUUUGCCCUCACUGGCCUCCAAGUUUUCUAGGAUGAUGCAAUGUCCAGCCAUCAACACAUUUGUGAAGGAAUUUUUACUCCCCAAAAGAGCGCCCCCCCAUGGCAGGAGAAAAAAGUCAAUUUUUUUCUUGUCCCCUAAGGUGAAAAUACACAUUGUUGAGUGUCACGCCUGUACGCUUUGUCAAAAUGACACAAAAAUUGACACACACAUGUAUCUCAAUAAGAUCUACAAAAAAGUCCAUGCGCGCGUAUCUGUCUAAUGUACGGUUAAAGGGUUAUUCCGCAUUUUUUGCCGAUUCGCACACAUUGGAAUUUCGCUAACUCCUCCGAAGGCUUUCGUUCCACCGGCACCACAUUUGCUCAGGCCAAAUUACACCCCAUGGCCAUUAAAAGUUAUUCAAAUCAUGACGCUGCACCCCACGGUUUACGUUCUAGGGGGCGCCAAAGAUAACCCAAAAAUCCACAUUUUUAAAAGUCUUAUAACUUUUUAUUUUUGUCCUCACUGGCCUCCAAGUUUUCUAGGAUGAUGCAAUGUCCAGCCAUCAACACAUUUGUGAAGAAAUUUUUACUCCCCAAAAGAGCGCCCCCCCAUGGCAGGAGAAAAAAGUCCAUUUUUUCUUGUCCCCUAAGGUGAAAAUACACAUUGUUGACUGUCACGCCUGUACGCUUUGGCAAAAUGACACAAAAAUUGACAAUCAUGUGUAUCUCAAUUAGAUCUACGAAAAAGUCAAAGAGCGCGUAUCUGUAUAAUGUACGGUAAAAGGGCUAUUUUGCAUUUUUUGCCGAUUCGCACACAUUGGAAUUUCGCUAACUCCUCCUAAGGCUUUCGUCCCACUGACACCAAAUUUGCUCAGGCCAAUCUACACUCCAUGGCCAUUCAAAGUUGUAAAAAUCAUGACGCUGCACCCCACGGUUUACGUUUUAGGGGGCGCCAAAGAUGACCCAAAUAUACAUUACAGUAGACAAAGUAGUUUUGCCCACUGAGUGGCGCCAAAGGGACUUGUCUGUGGAGUCUGUGAGUCACUAUUGGCCGUUUUUGACUACUUUAGAUUUUACCUUUAUAUUUCCUCUUACAAAAUUUUUACCUUGCCUUGCCUGGUAUCAUUUUUUUCAGCACAACCUCACCUGUGUCAAUUUACAGUUAUUUUAUCAUUUUGACAUACUAUAUUUACACAUUGGACCCAAAUUCACACACAAAACAUAAAAUCCGAGUGGAAAAAAGUAACGUUUUUACUGUGAAAACCACAAAUAUGUGUGAUGAACUGUUUUUAAAACUUAAACUUCAAAUAAAAAUUGUAAACUUCAAAACAUAUGCAAAUUUUUAACAAAGAACAUAGUAAUUUACCUCUAUUUACAUCAAAAUGCAGGCAAUGGCCCAGGUGUUCUUUGUAAAAUUAUUUACAAAACACUGUAUAGUCCCACAAAUGUCACUUUUUAUUUAUGCCACUACCAAAAAACAUGAUGUAAAUGAUGCAUGAUGUAAAACAUGAUGUAAAAAACAUGUGUAGAUCCUCCUCUAUGUUAGUCCAUGUGUAAUUUUUCCAUAAUUCUUUGUUUUUUGCAGCAUUUUUGUUAGUGUAACUGCAGAUUGUGCUGACAGUGUCUAUGGCAAAAAAAAAAAAAAAAACUGAAAAUGCCUCAACAUGAACCCCUGGUGGUCUCUGAGGGUGAAACCUGCUAACUGCUGCAGCUCUGUCAGCUUCAGUCUCCCAUGCAGAGCUCGGAGCGCAUGUGUGGCUCUGCACCCUUAGCAGCGUUGCUAACUCCUCAGUAAGGAAAGCCUGCUUCAUGUCAGAGUCUCUAAACUCCAGAAGAAGUCGAUAAAAGUCACUUUCUUUCUAAAAAAAAGUCGUUAGGGGGUCUGAAAAGUCAUUGAAUCUAACAACAAAGUCGCUAGGUUUGCAACUACGUGUCCCAGACUGCAUCCCUGCUGAGAGUCCCUCCCUCCCUUCUCAUAUUGCAGGAAGAACGUAAGUUCCCGCCCCUUGUCAAUCAGUCACCAUAUAAUUUUGGAUUGGUUGUUGUGGUGAAGUUUUCCACCAAUAGGAGAGAUGUUGUGGUGUGUUUUUUUUUUUCCUUUGGCAAGCCUUUUCCGCCUGUAAGACCUGUCGCUAAUGUCUGCAUGCUAUGUUUUCCUGUCUCAUACAACGCGAUCGAGCGCCGAACGUGAUCAAAAUAAGCAGAAAACAAGUAUCGUGGACAUAAUUUAUCAUAACUCUGGUUUUAUUUGGCCUAUCAACACAAUUUAAAAACUGGUAUAUAGGUUGAGGUCCUCACUUUUGAGAUAAAUUGAAUCGGAGAGUCAACGAGGCUCCGUCUUGCAGCUACAUCCGGUUAAAUAUGUCAUGUGACUUGAACGCACACACACACACACACACACACACACACACACACACACACACACAGACACACACACACGCACACACACACACUCAGAGUCUGGUUUUUAGCACCUGCAAAAACAUGCUAGUUACAUAUUUGACAAGAAUGCAGAGGCUCCUUUUGCCCCUGAAAAAAAUCAAAUUUCAAACACAACUUGACUGGUCAUUUCUCCAAAAGACAACCAUGAAGCUCCAUCCAAACCUGAAGCGGGCAGUUGGUGCAUGUGUACAGUAACCUGAGGGGAGUGAGGUGACUGCUUCUGAGGAGAACAUGAGCAGUGAAGAUUCACCUUAGAGCUAGAACAGAGACGUGCACAUGAUUAUACAGGGGCAGGGGCUCAAGUUUUUUCCAGUUGUUUAUACAAUAUGGAAAUUAAUGUGAAAUUAAAAAACAAAGUAUUAAUAGAAAGGUAAUGACUGUCCUGUGUAGGUGACAGUGAUAUCCAAUAGGCUAGGCACUCACGAGGCUGGCUGUGGCAAGUGUAAGUGAAAGCAACACGCACUGGCAGGAAGAACAGCAAACGCCGAUGAAGGAAAAGGGUCUUUGCAGUGAUGGGCGUUACCAGAGAGGGCGAUGGCCAGAGGACACAAAUGGGACGGGGAGGCAGCGCGUUGGGGGGGGGACGCGACACAGCUCGGGCCCGCCAGUGCCCCAACGGGGUCCUAGUCUUUGUUUCUUUCUUUCUUUUUUCUUUUUCCUCCCCUUUGAACUGGAAAAUGGCCCACUUCCCACUGGCGAAAACUCAUGAAAUUUGGCAGGACGACCGGGCCUGGUGAAAAAUUCGAUAUUCUGAAGUCGCCAAAACAAUAAAAUGCAAAAUGGCUCCAUAGCGCCCCCUAAGGUGGAAAUUCACACUAUUGACUGUCACGCCUGUACGCUUUGUCAUAUUGACACAAAAAUUGACACACACAUGUAUCUCAAUAAGAUCUACAAAAAAGUCAGUGCGGCCGUAUCUGUCAAAAUUACGGUUAAAGGGUUAUUUCGCAUUUUUUGCCGAUCCGCACACAUUGGAAUUUCGCUAACUCCUCCGAAGGCUUUCGUUCCACCGGCACCACAUUUGCUCAGGCCAAUCUACACCCCGUGGCCAUUAAAAGUUAUCAAAAUCAUGACGCUGCACCCCAAGGUUUAGGUUCUAGGGGGCGCCAAAGAUAACACUAAAAUCCACAUAUUUAAAAGUCUUAUAACUUUUUAUUUUUGUCCUCACUGGCCUCCAAGUUUUCUAGGAUGAUGCAAUGUCCAGCCAUCAACACAUUUGUGAAGGAAUUUUUACUCCCCAAAAGAGCGCCCCCCCAUGGCAGGAGAAAAAAGUCCAUUUUUUCUUGUCCCCUAAGGUGAAAAUACACAUUGUUGAGUGUCACGCCUAUACGCUUUGUCAAAAUGACACAAAAAUUGACACACACAUGUAACUCAAUAAGAUCUACAAAAAAGUCCAUGCGCGCGUAUCUGUCAAAUGUACAGUUAAAGGGUUAUUCCGCAUUUUUUGCCGAUCCGCACACAUUGGAAUUUCGCUAACUCCUCCGAAGGCUUUCGUUCCACCGGCACCACAUUUGCUCAGGCCAAUCUACACCCCAUGGCCAUUAAAAGUUAUUCAAAUCAUGAUGCUGCACCCCAUGGUUUAGGUUCUAGGGGGCGCCAAAAAUAACCCAAAAAUCCACAUUCUUAAAUGUUUUAUAACUUUUUAUUUUUGUCCUCACUGGCCUCCAAGUUUUCUAGGAUGAUGCAAUGUCCAGCCAUCAACACAUUUGUGAAGGAAUUUUUACUCCCCAAAAGAGCGCCCCCCCAUGGUAGGAGAAAAAAGUCAAUUUUUUCUUGUCCCCUUACAUAAAAAUACACAUUGUUGAGUGUCACGCCUGAACGCUUUGUCAUAUUGACACAAAAAUUGACAAUCAUGUGUAUCUCAAUUAGAUCUACGAAAAAGUCAAAGAGCGCGUAUCUGUAUAAUGUACGGUUAAAGGGCUAUUUUGCAUUUUUUGCCGAUUCGCACACAUUGGAAUGUGGCUAUCUCCUCCUAAGGCUUUCGUCCCACCGAUACCAAAUUUGCUCAGGGCAAUCUACACCCCAUGCCCAUUCAAAGUUGUAAAAAUCAUGACGCUGCACCCCACGGUUUACGUUCUAGCGGGCGCCAAAGAUGACCCAAAAAUCCACAUUCUUAAAAGUCAUUUUGGCCACUGCAGGAGUACAGAGUACUGCAGUUCUAGGGGGCGCCAAAGAUGACCCAAAAAUCCACAUUCUUAAAAGUCUUUUUGGCCACUGCAGGAGUACAGAGUACUGCAGGAUACACACACAUAUACACACACGCCAACAUACACACACACACACACACACACACACACACACACACACACACACACACACUCAGAGUCUGUUUUUUAGCACCUGCAAAAACAUGCUGUUUACAUAUUUGACAAGAAUGCAGAGGCUUCCUUUUGCCCCUGAAAAAAAUCAAAUUUCAAACACAACUUGACUGUUCAUUUCUCCAAAAGACAACCAUGAAGCUCCAUUUCAAACCUGAAGCAGAUAGUUGGUGCAUGUGUACAGUAACCUGAGGGGAGUGAGGUGACUAUUUCUGAGGAGAACAUGAGCAGUGAAGAUUCACCUUGGAGCUAGAACAGGGACGUGCACAUGAUUAUACAGGGGCAGGGGCUCAAGUUUUUUCCAGUCAUUUAUACAAUAUGGAAAUUAAUGUGAAAUUAAACCACAAAUAUGUGUGAUGAACUGUUUUUAAAACUUAAACUUCAAAUAAAAAUUGUAAACUUCAAAACAUAUGCAAAUUUUUAACAAAGAACAUAGUAAUUUACCUCUAUUUACAUCAAAAUGCAGGCAAUGGCCCAGGCGUUCUUUGUAAAAUUAUUUACAAAACACUGUAUAGUCUCACAAAUGUCACUUUUUAUUUAUGCCACUACAAAAAAACAUGAUGUAAAUGAUGCAUGAUGUAAAACAUGAUGUAAAAAACUUGUGUAGAUCCUCCUCUAUGUCAGUCCAUGUGUAAUUUUUCCAUAAUUCUUUGUUUUUUGCAGCAUUUUUGUUAGUGUAACUGCAGAUUGUGCUGACAGUGUCUAUGGCAAAAAAAAAAAAAAAUUAAAAUGCCUCAACAUGAACCCCUGGUGGUCUCUGAGGGUGAAACCUGCUAACUGCUGCAGCUCUGUCAGCUUCAGUCUCCCAUGCAGAGCUCGGAGCGCAUGUGUGGCUCUGCACCCUUAGCAGCGUUGCUAACUCCUCAGUAAGGAAAGCCUGCUUCAUGUCAGAGUCUCUAAACUCCAGAAGAAGUCGAUAAAAGUCCCUUUCUUUCUAAAAAAAAGUCGUUAGGGGGUCUGAAAAGUCAUUGAAUCUAACAACAAAGUCGCUAGGUUUGCAACUACGUGUCCCAGACUGCAUCCCUGCUGAGAGUCCCUCCCUCCCUUCUCAUGUUGCAGGAAGAACGUAAGCGCCCGCCCCUUGUCAAUCAGUCACCAUAUAAUUUUGGAUUGGUUGUUGUGGUGAAGUUUUCCACCAAUAGGAGAGAUGUUGUGGUGUGUUUUUUUUUUCCUUUGGCAAGCCUUUUCCGCCUGUAAGACCUGUCGCUAAUGUCUGCAUGCUAUGUUUUCCUGUCUCAUACAGCGCGAUCGAGCGCCGAACGUGAUCAAAAUAAGCAGAAAAAAAGUAUCGCGGACAUAAUUUAUCAUAACUCUGGUUUUAUUUGGCCUAUCAACACAAUUUAAAAACUGGUAUAUAGGUUGAGGUCCUCACUUUUGAGAUAAGUUGAAACGGAGAGUCAACGAGGCUCCGUCUUGCAGCUACAUCCGGUUAAAUAUGUCAUGUGACUUGAACGCACACACAGACACACACACACGCACACACACACACACACACACACACACACACACACACACACACACACUCAGAGUCUGGUUUUUAGCACCUGCAAAAACAUGCUAUUUACAUAUUUGACAAGAAUGCAGAGGCUCCUUUUGCCCCUGAAAAAAAUCAAAUUUCAAACACAACUUGACUGGUCAUUUCUCCAAAAGACAACCAUGAAGCUCCAUCCAAACCUGAAGCAGGCAGUUGGUGCAUGUGUACAGUAACCUGAGGGGAGUGAGGUGAGUGCUUCUGAGGAGAACAUGAGCAGUGAAGAUUCACCUUGGAGCUAGAACAGAGACAUGCACAUGAUUAUACAGGGGCAGGGGCUCAAGUUUUUUCCAGUCGUUUAUACAAUAUGGAAAUUAAUGUGAAAUUAAAACACAAAGUAUUAAUAGAAAGGUAAUGACUGUCCUGUGUAGGUGACAGUGAUAUCCAAUAGGCUAGGCACUCACGAGGCUGGCUGUGGCAAGUGUAAGUGAAAGCAACACGCACUGGCAGGAAGAACAGCAAACGCCGAUGAAGGAAAAGGGUCUUUGCAGUGAUGGGCGUUACCAGAGAGGGCGAUGGCCAGAGGACACAAAUGGGACGGGGAGGCAGCACGUUGGGGGGGGGGGGGGGGACGCGACAUGGCUCGGGCCCGCCAGUGCCCCAACGGGGUCCUAGUUAGGGCCCGAGCGUAGCUGCUAAGCAGCUGCGAGAGCCCUCUUGUUCCUGUAGUUUCCUUCUUUUGUUAUUAUUAUUAUUAUUAUUAUUUUUCCUCCCCUUUGAACUGGAAAAUGGCCCACUUCCCACUGGCAAAAACUCAUGAAAUUUGGCAGGACGACCGGGCCUGGUGAAAAAUUUGAUAUUCCGAAGUCGCCCAAACAAGAAAAUGCAAAAUGGCUCCAUAGCGCCCCCUAAGGUGAAAAUUCACACUAUUCACUGUCACGCCUGUACGCUUUGUCAAAAUGACACAAAAAUUGACACACACAUGUAUCUCAAUAAGAUCUACAAAAAAGUCAGUGCGGGCGUAUCUGUCAAAUGUACGGUUAAAGGGUUAUUUUGCAUUUUUUGCCGAUCCGCACACAUUGGAAUUUCGCUAACUCCUCCGAAGGCUUUCGUUCCACCGGCACCACAUUUGCUCAGGCCAAUCUACACCCCAUGGCCAUUAAAAGUUAUUCAAAUCAUGACGCUGCACCCCACGGUUUAGGUUCUAGGGGGCGCCAAAGAUAACCGUAAAAUCCACAUAUUUAAAAGUCUUAUAACUUUUUAUUUUUGUCCCCACUGGCCUCCAAGUUUUCUAGGAUGAUGCAAUGUCCAGCCAUCAACACAUUUGUGAAGGAAUUUUUACUCCCCAAAAGAGCGCCCCCCCAUGGCAGGAGAAAAAAGUCCAUUUUUUCUUGUCCACUAAGGUGAAAAUACACAUUGUUGAGUGCUACGCCUGUAUGUUUUGUCGUAUUGACACAAAAUUUUACAUACACGUGUAUUUCAAUAAGAUCUUCGAAAAAGUCAAUGGCCACGUAUCUGUAAAAUGUACGGUUAAAGGGUUAUUUUGCAUUUUUUGCAGAUUCGCACACAUUGGAAUUUCGCUAACUCCUCCGAAGGCUUUUGUUCCACCGGCACCACAUUUGCUCAGGCCAAUCUACACCCCAUGGCCAUUAAAAGUUAUUCAAAUCAUGACGCUGCACCCCACGGUUUAGGUUCUAGGGGGCGCCAAAGAUAACCCUAAAAUCCACAUAUUUAAAAGUCUUAUAACUUUUUAUUUUUGUCCUCACUGGCCUCCAUGUUUUCUAGGAUGAUGCAAUGUCCAGCCAUCAACACAUUUGUGAAGGAAUUUUUACUCGCCAAAAGAGCGCCCCCCCAUGGCAGGAGAAUAAAGUCAAGUUUUUCCUGUUCAUCAUUCAAUGGCUCAAACGCACUGCUCUCUCGGCAAAAGCGAAAGGAGGAGCAACUUGCCAUUUGGAUAUAUCUUAGCUGUGUUUGUGCCCUCACUCAUGGUCCAGACUUUUUUCAAAUAGGACAUGGAGUUUUUCUGCAGCGAGCGCUUUGGUAGAAACUGCGCCUCCCGUUCAUUAUAAUGGUAAAUGACCACAAACAAGUGCGCACACCAUCUUUGGACCUUGAGUGUGACGCGAUCGGGUGGGGGAGGCGGUCGCGCUGGGGGCGGCGUGACACGGCUCGGGCCCGCCAGUGCCCCAACGGGGCCCUAGUUCUUUCUUUCUUUCUUCUUUUUCCUCCCCUUUGAACUGGAAAAUGGCCCACUUCCCACUGGCGAAAACUCAUGAAAUUUGGCAGGACGACCGGGCCUGGUGAAAAAUUCGAUAUUCUGAAGUCGCCCAAACAAUUAAAUGCAUAAUGGCUCCAUAGCGCCCCCUAAGGUGGAAAUUCACACUAUUGACUGUCACGCCUGUACGCUUUGUCAUAUUGACACAAAAAUUGACACACAUAUGUAUCUCAAUAAGAUCUACAAAAAAGUCAGUGCGGCCGUAUCUGUCAAAUGUACGGUUAAAGGGUUAUUUCGCAUUUUUUUCCGAUCCGCACACAUUGGAAUUUCGCUAACUCCUCCGAAGGCUUUCGUUCCACCGGCACCACAUUUGCUCAGGCCAAUCUACACCCCGUGGCCAUUAAAAGUUAUCAAAAUCAUGACGCUGCACCCCAAGGUUUAGGUUCUAGGGGGCGCCAAAGAUAACACUAAAAUCCACAUAUUUAAAAGUCUUAUAACUUUUUAUUUUUGUCCUCACUGGCCUCCAAGUUUUCUAGGAUGAUGCAAUGUCCAGCCAUCAACACAUUUGUGAAGGAAUUUUUACUCCCCAAAAGCGCGCCCCCCCAUGACAGGAGAAAAAAGUCCAUUUUUUCUUGUCCCCUAAGGUGAAAAUACAUAUUGUUGAGAUUCACGCCUAUACGCUUUGUCAUAUUGACACAAAAUUUGACAAUCACGUGCCUUGCCUGGUAUCAUUUUUUUUCAGCACAACCUCACCUGUGCGAAUUUACAGUUAUUUUAUCAUGUUGACAUACUGAAUUUACACAAUGGACCCAAAUUCACACACAAAACAUAAAAUCCGAGUGGAAAAAAGUAACAUUUUUACUGUGAAAACCACAAAUAUGUGUGAUGAACUGUUUUUAAAACUUAAACUUCAAAUAAAAAUUGUAAACUUCAAAACAUAUGCAAAUUUUUAACAAAGAACAUAGUGAUUUACCUCUAUUUACAUCAAAAUGCAGGCAAUGGCCCAGGCGUUCUUUGUAAAAUUAUUUACAAAACACUGUAUAGUCUCACAAAUGUCACGUUUUAUUUAUGCCACUACAAAAAAACAUGAUGUAAAUGAUGCAUGAUGUAAAACAUGAUGUAAAAAACUUGUGUAGAUCCUCCUCUAUGUCAGUCCAUGUGUAAUUUUUCCAUAAUUCUUUGUUUUUUGCAGCAUUUUUGUUAGUGUAACUGCAGAUUGUGCUGACAGUGUCUAUGGCACAAAAAAAAAAAAAAAAUUAAAAUGCCUCAACAUGAACCCCUGGUGGUCUCUGAGGGUGAAACCUGCUAACUGCUGCAGCUCUGUCAGCUUCAGUCUCCCAUGCAGAGCUCUGAGCGCAUGUGUGGCUCUGCACCCUUAGCAGCGUUGCUAACUCCUCAGUAAGGAAAGCCUGCUUCAUGUCAGAGUCUCUAAACUCCAGAAGAAGUCGAUAAAAGUCCCUUUCUUUCUAAAAAAAAGUCGUUAGGGGGUCUGAAAAGUCAUUGAAUCUAACAACAAAGUCGCUAGGUUUGCAACUACGUGUCCCAGACUGCAUCCCUGCUGAGAGUCCCUCCCUCCCUUCUCAUGUUGCAGGAAGAACGUAAGCGCCCGCCCCUUGUCAAUCAGUCACCAUAUAAUUUUGGAUUGGUUGUUGUGUUGAAGUUUUCCACCAAUAGGAGAGAUGUUGUGGUGUGUUUUUUUUUUUCUUUUGGCAAGCCUUUUCCGCCUGUAAGACCUGUCGCUAAUGUCUGCAUGCUAUGUUUUCCUGUCUCAUACAGCGCGAUCGAGCGCCGAACGUGAUCAAAAUAAGCAGAAAAAAAGUAUCGCGGACAUAAUUUAUCAUAACUCUGGUUUUAUUUGGCCUAUCAACACAAUUUAAAAACUGGUAUAUAGUUUGAGGUCCUCACUUUUGAGAUAAGUUGAAACGGAGAGUCAACGAGGCUCCGUCUUGCAGCUACAUCCGGUUAAAUAUGUCAUGUGACUUGAACGCACACACAGACACGCACACACGCACACACACACACACACACACACACACACACACACACACACACUCAGAGUCUGGUUUUUAGCACCUGCAAAAACAUGCUAUUUACAUAUUUGACAAGAAUGCAGAGGCUCCUUUUGCCCCUGAAAAAAAUCAAAUUUCAAACACAACUUGACUGGUCAUUUCUCCAAAAGACAACCAUGAAGCUCCAUCCAAACCUGAAGCAGGCAGUUGGUGCAUGUGUACAGUAACCUGAGGGGAGUGAGGUGAGUGCUUCUGAGGAGAACAUGAGCAGUGAAGAUUCACCUUGGAGCUAGAACAGAGACAUGCACAUGAUUAUACAGGGGCAGGGGCUCAAGUUUUUUCCAGUCGUUUAUACAAUAUGGAAAUUAAUGUGAAAUUAAAACACAAAGUAUUAAUAGAAAGGUAAUGACUGUCCUGUGUAGGUGACAGUGAUAUCCAAUAGGCUAGGCACUCACGAGGCUGGCUGUGGCAAGUGUAAGUGAAAGCAACACGCACUGGCAGGAAGAACAGCAAACGCCGAUGAAGGAAAAGGGUCUUUGCAGUGAUGGGCGUUACCAGAGAGGGCGAUGGCCAGAGGACACAAAUGGGACGGGGAGGCAGCACGUUGGGGGGGGGGGGGGGGGGACACGGCUCGGGCCCGCCAGUGCCCCAACGGGGUCCUAGUUAGGGCCCGAGCCAGCUGCAGAGCAGCCGGGCGUAGGCCCUAUUAUUCCCCAAGUGGUUUUUCUUUGUUUCUUUCUUUCUUUCUUUCUUUCUUUAGGGCCCGAGCGUAGCUGCUAAGCAGCUGCGAGAGCCCUCUUGUUCCUGUAGUUUCCUUCUUUUGUUAGGGCCCGAGCCAGCUGCAGAGCAGCCGGGCGUAGGCCCUAUUAUUCCCCAAGUGGUUUUUCUUUGUUUCUUUCUUUCUUUUUUCUUUUUCCUCCCCUUUGAACUGGAAAAUGGCCCACUUCCCACUGGCGAAAACUCAUGAAAUUUGGCAGGACGACCGGGCCUGGUGAAAAAUUUGAUAUUCUGAAGUCGCCAAAACAAUAAAAUGCAAAAUGGCUCCAUAGCGCCCCCUAAGGUGAAAAUUCACACUAUUCACUGUCACGACUGUACGCUUUGUCAAAAUGACACAAAAAUUGACACACAUAUGUAUCUCAAUAAGAUCUACAAAAAAGUCAGUGGGCCGUAUCUGUCAAAAUUACGGUUAAAGGGUUAUUACGCAUUUUUUGCCGAUCUGCACACAUUGGAAUUUCGCUAACUCCUCCGAAGGCUUUCGUUCCACCGGCACCACAUUUGCUCAGGCCAAUCUACACCCCAUGGCCAUUAAAAGUUAUCAAAAUCAUGACGCUGCACCCCAAGGUUUAGGUUCUAGGGGGCGCCAAAGAUAACACUAAAAUCCACAUAUUUAAAAGUCUUAUAACUUUUUAUUUUUGUCCUCACUGGCCUCCAAGUUUUCUAGGAUGAUGCAAUGUCCAGCCAUCAACACAUUUGUGAAGGAAUUUUUACUCCCCAAAAGAGCGCCCCCCCAUGGCAGGAGAAAAAAGUCCAUUUUUUCUUGUCCCCUAAGGUGAAAAUACACAUUGUUGAGUGUCACGCCUAUACGCUUUGUCAAAAUGACACAAAAAUUGACACACACAUGUAUCUCAAUAAGAUCUACGAAAAAGUCAAUGCGCGCGUAUCUGUCAAAUGUACGGUUAAAGGGUUAUUCCGCAUUUUUUGCCAAUCCGCACACAUUGGAAUGUGGCUAACUCCUCCUAAGGCUUUCGUUCCACCGGCACCACAUUUGCUCAGGCCAAUCUACACCCCAUGGCCAUUAAAAGUUAUUCAAAUCAUGACGCUGCACCCCACGGUUUAGGUUCUAGGGGGCGCCAAAGACAACCCUAAAAUCCACAUAUUUAAAAGUCUUAUAACUUUUUAUUUUUGUCCUCACUGGCCUCCAAGUUUUCUAGGAUGAUGCAAUGUCCAGCCAUCAACACAUUUGUGAAGGAAUUUUUACUCCCCAAAAGAGCGCCCCCCCCCAUGGCAGGAGAAAAAAGUCCAUUUUUUCUUGUCCCCUAAGGUGAAAAUACAUAUUGUUGAGAUUCACGCCUAUACGCUUUGUCAUAAUGACACAAAAUUUGACAAUCACGUGCCUUGCCUGGUAUCAUUUUUUUCAGCACAACCUCACCUGUGCGAAUUUACAGUUAUUUUAUCAUGUUGACAUACUGAAUUUACACAAUGGACCCAAAUUCACACACAAAACAUAAAAUCCGAGUGGAAAAAAGUAACAUUUUUACUGUGAAAACCACAAAUAUGUGUGAUGAACUGUUUUUAAAACUUAAACUUCAAAUAAAAAUUGUAAACUUCAAAACAUAUGCAAAUUUUUAACAAAGAACAUAGUGAUUUACCUCUAUUUACAUCAAAAUGCAGGCAAUGGCCCAGGCGUUCUUUGUAAAAUUAUUUACAAAACACUGUAUAGUCUCACAAAUGUCACUUUUUAUUUAUGCCACUACAAAAAAACAUGAUGUAAAUGAUGCAUGAUGUAAAACAUGAUGUAAAAAACUUGUGUAGAUCCUCCUCUAUGUCAGUCCAUGUGUAAUUUUUCCAUAAUUCUUUGUUUUUUGCAGCAUUUUUGUUAGUGUAACUGCAGAUUGUGCUGACAGUGUCUAUGGCACAAAAAAAAAAAAAAAAAUUAAAAUGCCUCAACAUGAACCCCUGGUGGUCUCUGAGGGUGAAACCUGCUAACUGCUGCAGCUCUGUCAGCUUCAGUCUCCCAUGCAGAGCUCUGAGCGCAUGUGUGGCUCUGCACCCUUAGCAGCGUUGCUAACUCCUCAGUAAGGAAAGCCUGCUUCAUGUCAGAGUCUCUAAACUCCAGAAGAAGUCGAUAAAAGUCCCUUUCUUUCUAAAAAAAAGUCGUUAGGGGGUCUGAAAAGUCAUUGAAUCUAACAACAAAGUCGCUAGGUUUGCAACUACGUGUCCCAGACUGCAUCCCUGCUGAGAGUCCCUCCCUCCCUUCUCAUGUUGCAGGAAGAACGUAAGCGCCCUCCCCUUGUCAAUCAGUCACCAUAUAAUUUUGGAUUGGUUGUUGUGGUGAAGUUUUCCACCAAUAGGAGAGAUGUUGUGGUGUGUUUUUUUUUUCUUUUGGCAAGCCUUUUCCGCCUGUAAGACCUGUCGCUAAUGUCUGCAUGCUAUGUUUUCCUGUCUCAUACAGCGCGAUCGAGCGCCGAACGUGAUCAAAAUAAGCAGAAAAAAAGUAUCGCGGACAUAAUUUAUCAUAACUCUGGUUUUAUUUGGCCUAUCAACACAAUUUAAAAACUGGUAUAUAGGUUGAGGUCCUCACUUUUGAGAUAAGUUGAAACGGAGAGUCAACGAGGCUCCGUCUUGCAGCUACAUCCGGUUAAAUAUGUCAUGUGACUUGAACGCACACACAGACACACACACACACGCACACACACACACACACACACACACACACACACACACACACACACACACACUCAGAGUCUGGUUUUUAGCACCUGCAAAAACAUGCUAUUUACAUAUUUGACAAGAAUGCAGAGGCUCCUUUUGCCCCUGAAAAAAAAAUCAAAUUUCAAACACAACUUGACUGGUCAUUUCUCCAAAAGACAACCAUGAAGCUCCAUCCAAACCUGAAGCAGGCAGUUGGUGCAUGUGUACAGUAACCUGAGGGGAGUGAGGUGAGUGCUUCUGAGGAGAACAUGAGCAGUGAAGAUUCACCUUGGAGCUAGAACAGAGACAUGCACAUGAUUAUACAGGGGCAGGGGCUCAAGUUUUUUCCAGUCGUUUAUACAAUAUGGAAAUUAAUGUGAAAUUAAAACACAAAGUAUUAAUAGAAAGGUAAUGACUGUCCUGUGUAGGUGACAGUGAUAUCGAAUAGGCUAGGCACUCACGAGGCUGGCUGUGGCAAGUGUAAGUGAAAGCAACACGCACUGGCAGGAAGAACAGCAAACGCCGAUGAAGGAAAAGGGUCUUUGCAGCGAUGGGCGUUACAAGAGAGGGCGAUGGCCAGAGGACACAAAUGGGACGGGGAGGCAGCACGUUGGGGGGGGGGGGGGGGGGGGGCGACACGGCUCGGGCCCGCCAGUGCCCCAACGGGGUCCUAGUUAUUAGGGCCCGAGCGUAGCUGCUAAGCAGCUGCGAGAGCCCUCUUGUUCCUGAUGGAUUCUUCUUUAGGGCCCGAGCCAGCUGCAGAGCAGCCGGGCGUAGGCCCUAUUAUUCCCCAAGUGGUUUUUCUUUGUUUCUUUCUUUCUUUUUUCUUUUUCCUCCCCUUUGAACUGGAAAAUGGCCCACUUCCCACUGGCGAAAACUCAUGAAAUUUGGCAGGACGACCGGGCCUGGUGAAAAAUUCGAUAUUCUGAAGUCGCCCAAACAAUAAAAUGCAAAAUGGCUCCAUAGCGCCCCCUAAGGUGGAAAUUCACACUAUUGACUGUCACGCCUGUACGCUUUGUCAUAUUGACACAAAAAUUGACACACAUAUGUAUCUCAAUAAGAUCUACAAAAAAGUCAGUGCGGCCGUAUCUGUCAAAAUUACGGUUAAAGGGUUAUUUCGCAUUUUUUGCCGAUCCGCACACAUUGGAAUUUCGCUAACUCCUCCGAAGGCUUUCGUUCCACCGGCACCACAUUUGCUCAGGCCAAUCUACACCCCGUGGCCAUUAAAAGUUAUCAAAAUCAUGACGCUGCACCCCAAGGUUUAGGUUCUAGGGGGCGCCAAAGAUAACACUAAAAUCCACAUAUUUAAAAGUCUUAUAACUUUUUAUUUUUGUCCUCACUGGCCUCCAAGUUUUCUAGGAUGAUGCAAUGUCCAGCCAUCAACACAUUUGUGAAGGAAUUUUUACUCCCCAAAAGAGCGCCCCCCCAUGGCAGGAGAAAAAAGUCCAUUUUUUCUUGUCCCCUAAGGUGAAAAUACACAUUGUUGAGUGUCACGCCUAUACGCUUUGUCAAAAUGACACAAAAAUUGACACACACAUGUAACUCAAUAAGAUCUACGAAAAAGUCAAUGCGCGCGUAUCUGUCAAAUGUACGGUUAAAGGGUUAUUUUGCAUUUUUUGCCGAUCCACACACAUUGGAAUUUCGCUAACUCCUCCGAAGGCUUUCGUUCCACCGGCACCACAUUUGCUCAGGCCAAUCUACACCCCGUGGCCAUUAAAAGUUAUCAAAAUCAUGACGCUGCACCCCACGGUUUAGGUUCUAGGGGGCGCCAAAGAUAACCCUAAAAUCCACAUAUUUAAAAGUCUUAUAACUUUUUAUUUUUGUCCUCACUGGCCUCCAAGUUUUCUAGGAUGAUGCAAUGUCCAGCCAUCAACACAUUUGUGAAGGAAUUUUUACUCCCCAAAAGAGCGCCCCCCCAUGGCAGGAGAAAAAAGUCCAUUUUUUCUUGUCCCCUAAGGUGAAAAUACAUAUUGUUGAGAUUCACGCCUAUACGCUUUGUCAUAUUGACACAAAAUUUGACAAUCACAUGUAUCUCAAUCAGAUCUACGAAAAAGUCUAUGCGCGCGUAUCUGUAAAAUGUACGGUUAAAGGGCUAUUUUGCAUUUUUUGCCGAUUCGCACACAUUGGAAUGUGGCUAACUCCUCCUAAGGCUUUCGUCCCACUGACACCAAAUUUGCUCAGGCCAAUCUACACCCCAUGGCCAUUCAAAGUUGUAAAAAUCAUGACGCUGCACCCCACGGUUUACGUUCUAGGGGGCGCCAAAGAUGACCCAAAUAUCCACAUUCUUAAAAGAAUCCACAUCCCCCCCCAUCCCCCAUCCCCCAUGGCAGGAGAAACAGUCAAGUUUUUCCUGCCCAUCACUCAAUGGCUCAUUCGCAUCACUCUCCCGGCAACACCGUAACGAGGAGCAACUUGCCGUUUGGAUAUAUCCUAGCUGUGUUUGUGCCCUCACUCAUGGUCCAGACUUUUUUCAAAUAGGACAUGUAGUUUGUCUGCAGCGAGUGUUUUGGUAGAAACUGCGCCUCCCAUUCAUUAUAAUGGGAAAUGACCACAGACAAGUGCGCACACCAUCUUUGGACCUUGAGUGUGACGCGAUCGGGAGGGGUAGGCGGUCGCGCUGGGGGCGGCGCAACGCGGCUCGGGCCCGACAGUGCCCCACCGGGGUCCUAGUUUGUUAUUAUUAGGGCCCGAGCGUAGCUGCUAAGCAGCUGCGAGAGCCCUAUUAUUCCCCAAGUGGUUUUUCUUUGUUUCUUUUUUCUUUUUCCUCCCCUUUGAACUGGAAAAUGGCCCACUUCCCACUGGCGAAAACUCAUGAAAUUUGGCAGGACGACCGGGCCUGGUGAAAAAUUUGAUAUUCUGAAGUCGCCCAAACAAUACAAUGCAAAAUGGCUCCAUAGCGCCCCCUAAGGUGAAAAAUUCACCUGACGCCUGUACGCUUUGUCAAAAUGACACAAAAAUUGACACACACAUGUAUCUCAAUAAGAUCUACAAAAAAGUCAGUGCGGGCGUAUCUGUCAAAUGUACGGUUAAAGGGUUAUUUCGCAUUUUUUGCCGAUCCGCACACAUUGGAAUUUCGCUAACUCCUCCGAAGGCUUUCGUUCCACCGGCACCACAUUUGCUCAGGCCAAUCUACACCCCAUGGCCAUUAAAAGUUAUUCAAAUCAUGACGCUGCACCCCACGGUUUAUGUUCUAGGGGGCGCCAAAGAUAACCCUAAAAUCCACAUAUUUCAAAGUCUUAUAACUUUUUAUUUUUGCCCUCACUGGCCUCCAAGUUUUCUAGGAUGAUGCAAUGUCCAGCCAUCAACACAUUUGUGAAGGAAUUUUUACUCCCCAAAAGAGCGCCCCCCCAUGGCAGGAGAAAAAAGUCCAUUUUUUCUUGUUCCAUAAGGUGAAAAUUCACACUAUUGACUGUCACGCCUGUACGCUUUGUCAAAAUUACACAAAAAUUGACACACACAUGUAUCUCAAUAAGAUCUACAAAAAAAGUCAGUGCGGGCGUAUCUGUCAAAUGUACGGUUAAAGGGUUAUUGCGCAUUUUUUGCCGAUCCGCACACAUUGGAAUUUCGCUAACUCCUCCGAAGGCUUUCGUUCAACCGGCACCACAUUUGCUCAGGCCAAUCUACACCCCAUGGCCAUUAAAAGUUAUUCAAAUCAUGACGCUGCACCCCACGGUUUAGGUUCUAGGGGGCGCCAAAGAUAACCCUAAAAUCCACAUAUUUAAAAGUCUUAUAACUUUUUAUUUUUGUCCUCUCUGGCCUCCAAGUUUUCUAGGAUGAUGCAAUGUCCAGCCAUCAACACAUUUGUGAAGGAAUUUUUACUCCCUAAAAGAGCGCCCCCCAUGGCAGGAGAAAAAAGUCCAUUUUUUCUUGUCCCAUAAGGUGAAAAUACACAUUGUUGACUGUCAUACCUGUAUGCUUUGUCAUAUUGACACAAAAUUUGACACACACAUGUAUCUCAAUAAGAUCUACGAAAAAGUCAAUGCGCGCGUAUCUGUAAAAUGUACGGUUAAAGGGCUAUUUUGCAUUUUUUGCCGAUUAGCACACAUUGGAAUGUGGCUAACUCCUCCUAAGGCUUUCGUCCCACUGACA